GACAAACUCAUCGAACCCAAGCUACCUGAUACCAAAUUGGUAGAGGCUAGGGUUCUACCAGGUCUCGGACGUAGGUUGUAGGGGUGGAAGUGCGAGCUGCGAGGUUGGGGACGCCGGCGCCGACGGCGGGGCGCCGUCGCGGCGUGAGAGAGAGAGAGACGGCUAGGGUUUGGGGCUCUCGUCUCCUGAGGGAGACGACAACAGAAUAUACUGUUUAUUGUCUGAUUAAUAUCGAAGGGGUACAUGUGUUNNNNNNNNNNNNNNNNNNNNNNNNNNNNNNNNNNNNNNNNNNNNNNNNNNNNNNNNNNNNNNNNNNNNNNNNNNNNNNNNNNNNNNNNNNNNNNNNNNNNACACACACACAACANACACACAAUAAUACACACCACACACAUAGUAGACCGACMUACUAACUAACUACCACAAACGACAUAGUGGGGGGWGGACCACCACACACACACACACACACUCACACACACUUGUACAUCAUAGGGCACAAGCACAUCACCAUGAGGAUGAGCAACACACACACAUGCACCACACUAGGCUAGUGCAAAAACCCACAAGCUAGACACACACAAACAUGCAUAUAUGGUAGAUGAUUCACACAUACACUUGCCACAAUUCCUACACAUGCAUCUCUACACAUGCAACAACUCCACAUGCUAGCAAUUAACUAGGCACCUGCUGGAAUAAAUCUAGCAACCAAAACUUGCCUCACAAGCAUGCUGCAUCACAAUAUAGCAAGUAAACAAACCAAAACAGAGAAGAAAUGCAGAAAAAAAGGACAGGGGAGGGAUUCGAUCCCUAGACCUCCUGGUCACAACACAGGAACAACACCACUUGGCUGAGGUGCUCUUGUUCGACAGAAACAGAUAAGAGAGCAGGGAAUGCUCUCUGCUAUAGCUACUGUGUUGAAAAAUCACAAAACAAAAGGUGCGCCGUGGGGAUUCGAACCCCCGACCUGCCACUGCACCAAAACGCCUCUACCACUGUGCUACUACUUCGUAUCUUAACAUAGGAGGGGAGUAAUCUCUCUUGAGCACCCCCUCGUGCCUAUCCUCUGCCCGACGGUGGCCGGAACAGUGGAAUGUGCUCGCCGGCGUUACACACGAAAUCAGCCAACGACUCGUCGAUGGAAGGGAAUAGGAGUUCCCACGAUUCCAUUUCACUAACUAAACCUACUCGGGAGGACCUACAACACCAGCUCGACGAGGCACGGCGGCGCCGGUGACAGAGAAGGAACGGCGAUGAUGCUACGACCCCUAGGCGCUAGAUCUGGUGACAGGGAAGAGAGGGGAAGGUUCUCGCUCACCCACUGGAUGAGGUGGUCGCGUCGCCCGGAGAGGAAGUAGAGGAAGAAGGGGAAGGAGCCGCUCGGGGGAGAUCCUCGGGGAGGAAGGCCGCCGUCGUCGAGGUAGUUGUAGCAGGGCUGAUCUCGUCGAAGUAGCUGCAGGAAUGGACUCCUGGAAGAUCGUGCGUGCUCGCCGAGGUGUUGGGGAGGCCGCAGGUAUACGGGCGUGACGGUGAGGACCUCCUCAGCUCGCGGCCAUGGCAGAGGAGCUCGAUACCCUUACCCGUUGUCGAUGCAGAGAGGGAGAAGGAGAUGGGAGAGAGGUGGCAGCGCAAGGGGAGGAACCCUAGGCUGCACGGACGCCAAGGGGGGGCUUUUAUGGAGGAGGAGAGGCGAGGGACGCGCCUCGACGUCCGUGAUGACGUCUGUUGCCGUCUCUCUGCCUGUGUCUGUGGGAAGAAGCCUAACGGAGGAAGGAGACAGGGGAAUGACGUCUACACGGCACGGGCUGCGUGCAAGAGGGAGGCAGGUGGACCUGCUAGUGGGAGGAGGCCCACUAGUUGGCGCCAGAUAGAAGAAAAAUAAAACCCUUGGGGUUUUCUAAUUACAAAAUAACCAGAGAAAGAAAAUAAAGCAAAGGCAAAUCUGUUAAGACUAAAAACAAAACAAAAAUGCCCCUGGUCAUAAUAAAUUAUGACCUAUUUAAUUAAAUUGGAAAAGAAAUAUUUGGAGCAAUUAAAUAUUUACAAAACAUAAUUUAUUGGACCUGUUUUGUGAAUAUUUGCACCUUUAAAACAUAUUUUCCAAACAGCAAUUUCACACCUUACAAUCACCACAAUACAUACUAAUACAUGGGCAUUUUAGAAAUAGGGAUGGGGCAAGUAAAAUAAUGGGCUUGAGAUAAAUGAGAGGAAGAAGGUUUUGAAACGUAGUUGAAAUCCACAAGCUUCCUACUUUCAACAACACUACUCCACAACUUCACAUAUACCACAUAUCAUCACAUGACAUCACACCACAACAUCCAUCACAAGAAUAACAAUACAAAGCAUGGAAUGGAUGGAAUGCAUGCAUGCUAAGGAAGAACAAAACAAGGUGACACAUGAAAUAACACAUGCAUAGGCUCUCAUUUGAAUGACAAGGUGGACCCACAUAGAGAAGGUUCCCAAUAGGGAAAGAUACACUCGUGGGGCAUUACAAAGUCUCCCGCACUACAAAAAGAUCUGGACCCGACAUCUAAGAUUGAAACAACUCCGGGAAUUCAGAACGGAGGUGAUCCUCGCGUUCCNNNNNNNNNNNNNNNNNNNNNNNNNNNNNNNNNNNNNNNNNNNNNNNNNNNNNNNNNNNNNNNNNNNNNNNNNNNNNNNNNNNNNNNNNNNNNNNNNNNNCAGUCUCAGGACCCGACGGAUGAGCUAGACAUCGGGAUGGCUAAACCUCUGGGUGACCAGUGGGGCCCCGGACAUCGCUCAGGUGGGACCAACACUCAUGAGGAGCACUGGUCCGGGUUGUUGAUUAAAUUCCUCGGGGUAGCUAUUCCCUAUGCAGAUUAUUAAGUGAUUAGCAGAUUAAAACCAAUGUUGGGUCCUGCCAGACAAGUCUUAACACUACACGAUUUAUCAAGGGGGUCCUCAUAACAACCCCGAACGUGUUAGGAGCGAUCAGUUAUGGAAUCAAACACCGGUAGCCGGUAACUAUGGCGGCAAUAACGGAACAAAACACCCGGCAAAAGGCUAGGCCUUCCGUUAUUUACCAAGUAUAUAGGUGAUUAAUUAAAUAACAGAUUUAACAUAAUGAUAUCAAACUCAUGUUAUCAAAUGAGACAAAGCACCCGCAACUAGCAACGCUAACAUUAGUAGCUCAGCGAAGCCUACUUAGCCAUUCAAGAUUUGCUAGGAAGGGAUAAGUGUUUGGGUUUCAUGGCAAUAUCAGGAGGCAAUUUUUUCGGUGGUAGGCAGAGAGCAUAUGACGAAGGAAAUAUGAAUCUAGCAUAACAAGUCUAGAGAUGAAAUCAAGGUCAUAUCAUCUUGCCUGUGAUGUCCUCAGCUUGGAACUGCUCUUGUUUGUCCUGCACGUACUCUCCGGAUCCACGUACUCGUUCUCCGAUCCUGGUGCUACCCAACAUAAAAAUAGCAUCCAAUGAACAACAACACAACAAGAUGCAACAAGCAUAUGAUGCAUGAGAUGAAAAUGAACAUGCAUCUCUAUUCUAGUCACUAGCACAAGCAUGAGAAGAAAAUACAAGUUCCUGGACAUAACUGCACUCUAAGCUAUCUUGACAUGCAUGAGGAUGACAUGAAUAGAUGCGUCACGUGAAAACGAUGCAAAAACAUAUAAAGAUCGUUACGAACGGAGCUACGGAUCAACCGGAAACAACAAAACAAGAAAUAGAGUCCUACGUGUCAAAUCCAUCACAAGACACUCCAAUGGCAUACUUCUGGUAUUUCUAGGUUGCCAAGACAUAAAACAAACAAGAAUUGAUGGGGUGGUGCAAGGAAUAUCACCACACCACCAACUAUGCACUCACAAGCACCAAAACAUCAAAACUAUACAAUCUGCCACAACCAGCAUCAUAGCAGUUUGAGGGCUACAUGCAAAGCACCUACAACCACCCAAAUGUGUCAAAUAGGAUAUGUGGCAGAAGCUAUUCAAAAUCUCUACAAGCACAAGUAAAAAGAUACUACAAAGGAGUUACACACAGGAAGUUACACAGCUGCUAACUUGGCCAAAAAUAUUAGUUUUCACGGACUUAGUGAAAAUUCCAGAUUCUCACUAGCUGUUUAUGCUCUGAAGCAUUUUGACAGCACCCAAAACAAUAUCUAAAGGAUUCCAAAUGGAAUGAAAAUUGACAGAGCGCUAGACAAAUACAAAAGCUACAACUUGCCAGUUGAUAGCAAAGGCUGAUUCCCAACACAUGGAGUUCUACAAGCACAACAACAAGAGAAGAAAAUACAAGCAAAUUCUCAGACUCUUUGCUAUAGCUACUGUGUCGAAAAAUCACAAAACAAAAGGUGCGCCGAGGGGAUUCGAACCCCCGACCUGCCACUCCACCAAAACGCCUCUACCACUCUGCUACUACUUCGUAUCUUAACAUAGGAGGGGAGUAAUCUCUCUUGAGCACCCCCUCGUGCCUAUCCUCUGCCCGACGGUGGCUGGAACAGGGGAAGGUGCUCGCCGGCGUUACAGGCAAAAUCAGCCAACGACUCGUCGAUGGAAGGGAAUAGGAGUUCCCACGGUUCCAUUUCACUAACUAAACCUACUCGGGAGGACCUAUAGCACCAGCUCGACGAGGCACGGCGGCGCCGGCAACAGAGAAGGAACGGCGAUGAAGCUACGACCCCUAGGCGCUAGAUCCGGUGAUAGGGAAGAGAGGGGAAGGUUCUCGCUCACCCACUGGACGAGGUGGUCGUGUCGGUCGGAGAGGAAGUAGAGGAAGAAGGGGAAGGAGCCGAUCGGGGGAGAUCGUCCGGGAGGAAGGCCGUCGUCGUCCAGGUAGUUGUAGAAGGGCUGAUCUCGUUGAAGUAGCUGCGGGAAUGGACUCCUGGAAGAUCCCGCGUGCUUGCCGAGGUGUUGGGGAGGCCGCAGGUGUACGGGCGCGAUGGCAAGGACCUCCUCAGCUCGCGGCCAUGGCGGAGGAGCUCGAUCCCCUUACCUGUUGUCGACGCAGAGAGGGAGAAGGAGAUGCGAGAGAGGUGGCGGCGCAAGGAGAGGAACCCUAGGCUGCACGGACACCAAGGGGGGGGGGGGCUUUUAUGGAGGAGGAGAGGCGAGGGACGCACCUCGACGUCCGUGACGGCGUCUCCUGCCGUCUCUCUGCCUUUGUCUCUCUGAAGAAGCCUGACGGAGGAAGGAGACACGGGAACGGCGUCUACACGGCACGGGCUGCGCGAGAGAGAGAGAGAGAGAGGCAGCGUGGGCCUGCUAGGUGGGAGGACGGCCCACUAGGUUGGCGCCAGAUAGAAAGAAAAAACUAAAACCCCGUUCGGGUUUUCUAAUUAACAAAAUAACCAUAAGAAAGAAAAUAAAGACAAAGGACAAAUCUAGUUAAGACUAGAAAACAAAAAMCAAAAAUACGACCGUCGGUCGAUAAGGAAUACAUMGACCUUAAUUUAAANNNNNNNNNNNNNNNNNNNNNNNNNNNNNNNNNNNNNNNNNNNNNNNNNNNNNNNNNNNNNNNNNNNNNNNNNNNNNNNNNNNNNNNNNNNNNNNNNNNNUCUUUCCCUAUUUGGAACCUUCUCUAUGUGGGUCCACCUUGUCAUUGAAAUGAGAGCCUAUGCAUGUGCUAUUUCAUGUGUCACGUUGUUUUGUUCUUCCUUUGCAUGCAUGCAUUCCAUCCAUUCCAUGCUUUGUAUUGUUGUUCUUGUGAUGGAUGUUGUGGUGUGAUGUCAUGUGAUGAUAUGUGAAAUACGUGAAGGUGUGGAGUAGUGUUGUUGAAAGUAGGAAGCUAGUGGAUUUCAACUAGGUUUUAAAACCUUCUUCCUCUCAUUUAUCUCAAGCCCAUUAUUUUACUUGCCCCAUCCCUAUUUCUAAAAUGUCGAUGUAUUAGUAUGUAUUGUGGUGAUUGUAAGGUGUGAAUUUGCUGUUUUGAAAAUAUGUUUUAAAGGUGCAAAUAUUCACAAAACAGGUCCAAUAAAUUCUGUUUUGUAAAUAUUUAAUUGCUCCAAAUAUUUAUUUUCCAAUUUAAUUAAAUAGGUCAUGAUUCCUUAUGACCACGGGCAUUUUUGUUUUGUUUUCAGUCUUAACAGAUUUGCCUUUGCUUUAUUUUCUUUCUAUGGUUAUUUUGUAAUUAGAAAACCCGAGGGGUUUUAUUUUUCUUCUAUCUGGCGCCAACUAGUGGGCCUCCUCCCACUAGCAGGCCCAGCUGCCUCUCUCUCUCUCUCUCUCGCGCACGCCCGUGCCGUGUAGACGUCCCGUUCCGUGUCUCCUUCCUCCGUCAGGCUUCUUCAGAGAGACGAAGGCAGAGAGACGGCGAGGAGACGCCGUCGACGGACGUCGAGGUGCGUCCUCGCCUCUCCUCCUNNNNNNNNNNNNNNNNNNNNNNNNNNNNNNNNNNNNNNNNNNNNNNNNNNNNNNNNNNNNNNNNNNNNNNNNNNNNNNNNNNNNNNNNNNNNNNNNNNNNCUGAUUAAGAUCACUUGNAAACAGUAUGAGCUUAGAACUAGCUUGGAACUAAACAUUAUGAUCGUAGAUUUCAAUCAGAUAACUUACGUGGAAAAGAUCGCAACGGGGCUCGAAUUUACAAUAGCCAUCCUGUGCAAGGUAGUGCACAUGACUUACGAAGUAUCCCCGAGUCGUAGCGAGCUAUAAGGACUCUUUAAGACAUAACGAGAACCGAUGUAAGACGACCGUGAACAAACUUAUCCACUGAAUAUCGAAUCCCAACCUCACAUCAUGCAUCUGUAGGAAGAUUGUCCUAUAAGUUACUACUUGAUAUCCCACCUAUGAAUUCCCGAAAUAUCCUGUCAUGCAAUCUGGUACACGGAUACAAGGAGUAAUAAUCACACAACUCCUAUACUAACUUGUCCACUGUAUCACAUCUGUCAACACACAACCAGAAUCUCAGACCUUCAUCUACAAGAGACCCUCGUGAUAACAACGAUACAAAGUAUGGCAGUACUCCCGAACAAUCUGCACCAGUCCUGGGGACAUCGAGGUUAUCUCGCCACUACUAUUAUUGAAGCAAUUAUGAACAUCCUUCGUUCUGAGAUACUCAGAAAUCUGAAUGAUGGCGAUGUGCGCAAGAAUCCCAUGGAGCUCAAACUCCCCCGGAAGUAAAGUCAAGGCANACAGGGGAUAGACAUANANNNNNNNNNNNNNNNNNNNNNNNNNNNNNNNNNNNNNNNNNNNNNNNNNNNNNNNNNNNNNNNNNNNNNNNNNNNNNNNNNNNNNNNNNNNNNNNNNNNNUCCGUUAGGGUUACGAGCUUUGCCGUCUCGCUCCCCUCCANCUUUGCGUCUGCUACCCCCUCCCUACCCCCCCUCCAUCUUUGCCGUCUGCCUCCCCCUCCAUCUUUGCCGUCUGCCUAYUCCCCCCCCUCCACUCUUUGUCAUCUGCCUACUCCCCCUGCCCACAGGCGGCUCUCCCACUCGAUCCGAUUGAGUGUGGUGUGCGCAGCGCGGCGGCGGACGGGUUGUACGCACGGAAUGACGGUGGGGACGGAUCCAAGCGAGCAACAGUGGCGACUUGCAAGGCGUCGGGGUUCUCGAGGCAGCGCCAUGGUUACUCGGGCGUGCUCCUAAAAGAAAAUGAGCGAGAGCGAGAGAGAGAGAGAGAGAGAGAGAGAGAGAGAGAACGUGGGAGGGAAGGGGAAGGAAACGGAGGGGAGGCGACGGCGAAGUGAGWUGUUGGUGCUCGUUAGGUUGCGUCGUGGUAGAACKAAGUAAAACGAAACAACCAACGUACUACAAACGUACGGAAACAAACUAAAAACAGACGAAACGGAGAUAGGAUACCUUUACGUAACGGACNNNNNNNNNNNNNNNNNNNNNNNNNNNNNNNNNNNNNNNNNNNNNNNNNNNNNNNNNNNNNNNNNNNNNNNNNNNNNNNNNNNNNNNNNNNNNNNNNNNNUCCUGUNUCGAGCUUGCCGAUGUGGCCGAGCGACCUUAGGCGAACGCGAGGCAGCCAAGACCGCAAUGGCAGACCGCCGGCCUUUCCGGCCCCCGAACUAAAGGUCCCAAGGCCUCGUACGACGUCCUAUCGUCGAGUGCUGUAGUAGGCGAGCGGUUGAGGAUGUAGACGGCUGUCAGCACCGCCUNUCCCCAGAAAACAGUCGACAUCCCUCUCUGCUUGAGGAGAGCCCGAGCCAUCCCCACAAUCGUUUGGUUGCGCCGCUCGACGACGCCGUUCUGCUGCGGGUUGUACGGCGCGGAGUAGUGGCGCCGGAUGCCCUCAGCAGCGCAGUACGACGCGAAUUCAGUCGUCGUUGUCAAUGCGCAGCACGCGCAGUUUGCGGCUGCUCUCCGCCUCCGCAACAACCUGCGCACGCCUGAUGGCGUAUUAUUGAAGCAAUUAUGAACAUCCUUCGUUCUGAGAUACUCAGAAAUCUGAAUGAUGGCGAUGUGCGCAAGAAUCCCAUGGAGCUCAACUCCCCGGAAGAAAUCAAGGCACACAGGGGGAUAGGGUCAGCAUGGNACUNNNNNNNNNNNNNNNNNNNNNNNNNNNNNNNNNNNNNNNNNNNNNNNNNNNNNNNNNNNNNNNNNNNNNNNNNNNNNNNNNNNNNNNNNNNNNNNNNNNNGAGAGUAGAGAGAGAAGACGGCUAGGGGUUUUUGGGGGGCUCUCGUCUCCUGAGGGGAAGACGACAACAGAAAUAGUACNGUUUUAUUGUCUGAUUAAAUAUCGAAAGGGGGUACCAUGUGUUUUAAUAAAAGGAGGACAGCCCUUCACUAAAACCCCUGAUAACUUGGACUCUAACUUGGACUCUAAAUAUAAACUUUGGACUUCUAAGAUAGKUAAGAUAACUUGGGCUAAAGCCCGUAAUUAAACCCUGCCCAUUGGGCCUCCUCYGUUGGUACGUUGUACCGGUCAUAACAUCAUAGUCCACGACAACUGUCGGCGAAAGAAGCUCGGCGGAUAAGACACGAUGGACGUAGAUCGACAAUGCAAAAGAAGUCCGGAAAAUCCUAUAGAAAACAACAAGGGCAAAUAGGCCACAAAAGUUGCAUAUAAAGGAUCAGGACCAAAGAAAGGCUGGCGGACUAAGGUAUGGUGGACUCGCAUGAAUCAAAAAUGUGCAAUUUAUAAGUUCCUUACCGCCACAUAUCUAGUCCACACAUUUCACUAUCAAUUGAAAGCUUACUAUUAACCCAAUCCCAUCCAAACCACUCUAAGAAAGACANNNNNNNNNNNNNNNNNNNNNNNNNNNNNNNNNNNNNNNNNNNNNNNNNNNNNNNNNNNNNNNNNNNNNNNNNNNNNNNNNNNNNNNNNNNNNNNNNNNNAAGCCAAUAUGGAGCCGGCAGACACCCGGCGGUGAUGCCAAANCUUGGCAGCAACGCGCUCGUCCUCGACCCACCAUCGCCUUCAACUAGGCUCACCUGUCGGGUUCUUCACGGGUUAUGGUGGAACGGCGGCAGCAGCAUCAACCAUCCUCUAACUAUUGAUACCCUGCUCAAGUUGGGGCUCAAAGAGAAGGACCUGCAGCUGACCCGAACUGUCUUCCACAACAUCAUGUCGGGGUAGUCCUACUCCCUCAUUGGCAAGAUCCAGCUAGACGUCCUCUUCGGCGACAAGGCUACACUUGGGUAUGGGCAUNGUCAGUGUGACUCGAUGGACCUCAUGCGUUGUUGGGCAGGCUGGCGCUCGCCAAGUUCAUGGUAGAUUCCCCCCAAUUAMCGUCUACCUCAAGAUGAAGAUGUCGGGGCCCAAGGGCUUUANCACCAUUGACGCGAUUUACAAGAAGUUGUCGAGUGCGCAUGCGACAGCCAGCCCGGUCUAAGCCCGAAAGCUNNNNNNNNNNNNNNNNNNNNNNNNNNNNNNNNNNNNNNNNNNNNNNNNNNNNNNNNNNNNNNNNNNNNNNNNNNNNNNNNNNNNNNNNNNNNNNNNNNNNUACACACAAGACACACACUUAGGCACUUCACAACCAUAUAGCACUUACUCGACAACAUUACACACGUAUGUCGAGGUCUUCUCAACACACACAUACACUACCCACAGUCACCCAUUGUGGCAAACAUGAACUCUUGGUUCAUAGUGUGUGAGAAUGCACACACAGACAUUGCAGCACAAUUCACCACUUGUAUGUGUGCCAGUCACACACACACACACAUACAAACAUCUAGGRCAGGAAGGCAAAAUAACAAAGGAAGAACAACUACAAUGCUACAAAUAAUGUGGGCAACUUAGAUAACAAAUCAGCAAAGGAAAAAUAAAAUAAAAACAAAAAAAGGGAAGGUUCUGGGAUCGAACCCAUACCUACUGGAUCCAGCACACAGCCCACAACCACUCUUCUACAUGUCACUGCUCGACAGGAGAGAGGGCGCACACAGAGUCAGGUUCACCCUGUUGCUACUGUGCUAAAAUACCCACAAAAAACAAAAAGGGGCACUGAGGGAAUCGAACCCACGACGUGCAACUGAGAACAAACAAUAGCACUACCACUAUAUNUACGCACUACGACUACCUUGUACAGAGAAGGGAGGCGUGCUCUCUGUAGACUAGCAACGACGACACAGGAGNNNNNNNNNNNNNNNNNNNNNNNNNNNNNNNNNNNNNNNNNNNNNNNNNNNNNNNNNNNNNNNNNNNNNNNNNNNNNNNNNNNNNNNNNNNNNNNNNNNNGGGUUAAAUCUAGGAAAGCAACCUAUAAAUUGGUUGUGUUUCAGUUCUGAGGUUUAGACAUCUCUGUAUUUCUGUACCUUAGGUGUUUGUUGAAGAGUGUUGCAUUCGAACACAAUUUAGAUUUUUUUUGGUGGAACUCAGCAUACCCGGGGGGUNCAAUACGCAAUUAAUUUGUCUAGGAAAGGUUUCCAUGAUUUGGCCAAUGGAAAAGACAUAUAGAUAUGCAUAUGCAGUUUAAGUUCAUAAUGUUGAAUAAAAAMMAUUAUGAUAAAUUUAGCAGAAGUGUGUGCUUGAUUCAAGGAGCAAUAUCAAUUAACUAAUUGUAUAAGUAUGGGAGGGUAUACUUAGUUGUUAUACUUGUCCACCUCUUUGUAGUUGUUGCAAUAUAUAUUGUUUGUCACCAUACAUGCUUAAUUGUCUUAAUACUAGGUAGUAUUACACUUAAAACCAGGAAGAAUAUACACAUGUUUCUUCCUAUAGCAUGCUACACAUGUUUCUUUCCUAUAGCAUGCUACACAUGGUCCCUUUCUGAAAAGUGCAGUACUACNUACNCCCUCNGUUCCCUAAAAAUACCUUUUUGUUGUUUUGGGAGAGGAAACCCUUAAGGAGUAGUCUCUCCACAAAAAAGUAUUGUGGUACGGAGGGGANNNNNNNNNNNNNNNNNNNNNNNNNNNNNNNNNNNNNNNNNNNNNNNNNNNNNNNNNNNNNNNNNNNNNNNNNNNNNNNNNNNNNNNNNNNNNNNNNNNNGAGGAUUAACCAGAUAGUGAAGAAUUUUCCGGGUUGACCGAAAUUCCAGUAGAGAAUCUUCAGCAAAUUCUUCAAAACAGGUAGACCAACGAAAAUUCUUCAACAUACGAAUUAAUUGUAGGAAUUUGAAAGAGUUGAAGAAAUAGAACCCGUAUCACAGUUUCGAAGACCAGUUGUUGAUGAGCUAGUUCCAACUAGUUCGUGACAGUCGUACGUGUCGGUUUGGAGCGGCUUGGGUAAUUGAAACCUAAAGGACACCACAGUCCCGGGACACAUAGUCCCUACCGUAUUCUCCUUGCACUACUGGAAUCAGAGAAUUUGCCAUCUGCUGCUUCUUUGUCCGUCUGCUGCGUCGACUUGGCCAAAGACACUCUUUGCCAUCGAGACUAACCCCAAAACCCUGACCGGCCAAAGACGCAACGGGCCUCGUUAUCGGGCCAAAGGACGUUGGUUCCCUUUUGCCCUAGGUCUAGCGUGACCUCCUUCGCCAGUCCUGCCAGCCCUCGACCGCAAGACCCACCCCGACACCCACCCUCUAACCCACNNNNNNNNNNNNNNNNNNNNNNNNNNNNNNNNNNNNNNNNNNNNNNNNNNNNNNNNNNNNNNNNNNNNNNNNNNNNNNNNNNNNNNNNNNNNNNNNNNNNCCCCAAGGCCUUCCGAAUUCCUAGGCCCGAAUAUUUACCUAGAAAGGGGACUGGUCCGAGUUCCAUUUCCCACAAUCCGUAUAACACCUAAAGCUAUUCGGCCACUACAGCAAGCACCAUCAGGUAACUCAAGGAAGUGUUGGAAGACCAAUUGCAGAGAGGCCAUCCUCAUCUGAGUCAAAAUUGCAACAUCAUGCAGCUAUAAAUAUUGUGGGUGAUGGCUUCAAUUGGAGGAAAUAUGGUCAGAAGCAAGUGAAAAGUAGUGACAAUUCUAGGAGCUACUAUAGAUGCACAAACUCAAGUUGUUUGGACUAAAAAAGAAAGUUGAGCAUUGUCCUGAUGGCCGUAUUAUAGAAAUCAUAUAUAGAGGAACACACAGUCAUGAACCACCACAGAAGACCAGAUUUGUAAAAGAGAGGUUGCCUCAUAUUUAUGUCCCCCCCMCAGUAGGUGAUAACGAAACCUCUGACCUAACUUGGACCGAAACAGGUAAGUAAAUUUGGUAGGAACCUUCCCCGUAACAAUGAACAUUAAGUUAAAAACUUAAAACAAAGGNNNNNNNNNNNNNNNNNNNNNNNNNNNNNNNNNNNNNNNNNNNNNNNNNNNNNNNNNNNNNNNNNNNNNNNNNNNNNNNNNNNNNNNNNNNNNNNNNNNNGGCCUUUAGGGAAAUCCCUAAGUUAUUGGUAGUCAAAGGUUUGUGUCCCAUCCAAAAGUAGGCAUGUGGUUGAAAGUUCCAGAUUAGUGAGAUUUUUCACUAAGUUCUGAGAAUUCUGUUUANAUUUUUCUUCUCCUGUUGUAUGAGGCUUGUUGACACGUCCAUGUGUUUUUGAUUUCAGCCUUAGCUUUCUACUGGGAAGUUGUAGAUUUUAUGUUUGUCCUAGCUACCCUGUUAAAUUUUUCAUUCCAUUUGGAGUCCUAUAGAUAUUGUUUUUGGGUGUUGUCAAAAUGCUUCAGAGCAUAAACAGCUAGUGAGAAUCUGGAAUUUUCACAAGUCCGUGAAAUCUAAUAUUUUUGGCCUAGUUAGCAGUUGUGUAACUUUCUGUGUGAAACUCCUUUGUGUGAUCUUUUUGCUUAUGCUUGUAGUACUCUUGGAUAGCUUCUGCCACAUAUCUUAUUUGUCAUGUUGGGUGGAUGUAGGUGCUUUGCAUGUAGCUCUCAAAGUGUUAUGAUGUUGUUUAUGGCAGAUUGUGUAGNNNNNNNNNNNNNNNNNNNNNNNNNNNNNNNNNNNNNNNNNNNNNNNNNNNNNNNNNNNNNNNNNNNNNNNNNNNNNNNNNNNNNNNNNNNNNNNNNNNNCGAGAUAACCCCGAUGUCCCCAGUACUGGUGCAGAUUGUUCGGGAGUACUGCCAUACUUUGUAUCAUUGUGAUCACGAGGGUCUGUUGUAGAUGAAGGUCCGAGAUUCUGGUUGUGUGUUGACGGAUGUGAUACAAGUGACGGGUUAGCAUAGGAGUUGUGUGAUAUUACUCCUUGUAUCCGUGUACCAGAUUCUAUGACCAGAUAUUUCAGGAAUUCAUAGGUGGGAUAAUCAAGUAGUAACUUAUAGGACAUUCUUCCUACAGAUGACAUGAUGUUUAGUAGGUUGGGGGAUUUACGAUAGUUCGUAAGUAGGGUGUGUUUGUUCACGGUCGUACUUUACAAGUUGGUUACUCGUUGUGUACUUUAAAGAGUCGUUUAGUAGCUACGCUACGACUCGGGGAUACUUCGUAAGUCGUGUGCACUACCUUUGGCUGUAGACAUCCUCUAAAACCUUUUUGGCUUACACUUGAUGUACCAUGAAUCAAAGUAGCCUAAUCAUUUUGCGUUAAGGACNNNNNNNNNNNNNNNNNNNNNNNNNNNNNNNNNNNNNNNNNNNNNNNNNNNNNNNNNNNNNNNNNNNNNNNNNNNNNNNNNNNNNNNNNNNNNNNNNNNNCACACGGGCAUCCCCACCUUUUUUUCUUUUCUUUUUCUUAUUUUAUUUUUCUUUGUCUUCUGAUUUAUUUUCUUUUUUGUCAUUAUUUCCCCUUUCCGCAAAAAUAGUGUGACUUGGUCCAAUUAAUAUAUUGUAAUAUUUUUCUAAUGGCCACACCAGGUUUGGUUAUUUUUGGUACUAUGUUCAAAUUAAUCCAUGGAAUUAAAAAAGGGAAGUUUUUAAUUACGCCUUUUGGUCUCUGUUUUAGUAUGGUGGGGUCCGACACAAUUGGUUUGGUUGGAUGUUGCUUUACUUUAACAACAAUUGUUUUGUUGAAAUUUUAAGUCAAAUGUGCAACAUUUUCUUUAUGCUGUUUGAGGUUUUUACUUUUAUUCACAAUAAAAAUUACCAAUGCCUAUUUGUAAUGGAAUUUGUAAAUGAGAUAUGAAUCUUUAUCUUGUAUCAUAUCCUGUCUUAGCAAAAUGAUUAGGCACUGAUCAUGGUCAUCAGUGUAGCAAAAGUUGAGGAUGUCACAGCAAGGUAGUGCACACGACUUACGAAGUAUCCCCGAGUCGUAGCGAGCUACAACGACUCUUUAAGCACAACGNGAACCACUGUAAGCGACCGUGAAACAAACACACCCAUGAACNUCGAAUCCCAACCUCACAUCAUGCAUCNGUAGGANAAUGUCCUAUAAGUUACACUUGAUAUCCCACCUAUGAAUUCCUGAAAUNUCUGGUCAUAGAAUCUGGUACACNNNNNNNNNNNNNNNNNNNNNNNNNNNNNNNNNNNNNNNNNNNNNNNNNNNNNNNNNNNNNNNNNNNNNNNNNNNNNNNNNNNNNNNNNNNNNNNNNNNNCUGGACCGGGUACUACGCGAUUAAUAGGCCGAGCGGUUUAAUUGAUUCGACGUGAUGCUCAGAUCAACUUGAUGUUAACAUGCAUGAAAUGUCAUGUUAUGGUACUGAUUUGUAAUUAGGACAGUGGUGAACACUGUAUAUAUAAUGGAAUUUGAAUACUUUUGCAAUUUCCAUUUAAAAAGUGAUUAUAAGAAUUGAAUUAUUCCUUAUUCCACAAUUUAGGGUUCUGUAACUUUUUCAAACAUAGUUGAAAAUAUCAUAUUCAGAAUCCUUGAAUUUUUCUGAUACUUUUUCAUAUAUAAAUUAUUUUCAUUGGAGUUACAGAUUAAUUUCUAUGAAUUUUACAAGUUUUAGCAAUUUCCUGGAAUUAUUUCUAUACUGGAAAUACUUUUAUUGCAUCAGCAUGACAUCAGCAGGUCCAUCUGGCCGUUGAAAGUCAAACCUGACCAGUGGGACCCACUGGUCAGUCUCUCUGGUCAAAUUUAGAUUAAGAUUAAACUUAAUUAUCUGAUUAACCUUGCUGGACCCACAUGUCAGUGACUGAUUAACUAAUCUGAUUUAUUUUUAUUAGUUUUAAACUUGCCAGAGGCUGGCCCCACCAGUAAGUGGCUCAGGCCAGCCGAGAUCCACCGGGGCAGGCCAGCCGAGAUCCACCAGUAAGUGGCUCAGGCUCAGGCCAGGUCGUCCUCGCCGGCGGGGAGCCUCCGGCGACCACCAGCACGGCGGAGGGGCUCGGAAACGGUGCACAGGGGGCCAAAUGCUGCAUGGAGAGCACCAGAGGAACGGCACGUCUCCCGCAGCUCCAUUUCUACACUUAGCCGGGGCUGAUCUGGCCGGAGAUGACGCCGGCGACGAGCUUGGCGGCGGCCAAGGCUCGGGCGUCAUCGGGGUCUUUGAUCCAGAGGAAACUACGCUCGGUUCUUAGCUGCUACAGCAUCUACGCGUCGACGUGAAGCUGUUGGGGCCCUCGGAAGGACGAGCUGAUCAUCGGAGGGCUACCGGCGACGAGCGGCAUCGGCGGUCCUCGUCGGGCUCCGCUGAAACUAGAGCUAGAGGAGGGAAUCGACGGGAAAAACUUAGGGGAAACGGCCGCAUGCUCACGGGGAGUGCAGAGCAGGGCUUAGACGGCUCGGGGAAGGCCUGGGAGCGACGAAUCGACGGGAGAGGUCCGGCGGCCGAAGGUGGAAGACGAUGGCGUCGCGGGCGUUGCAGGGCUCGGGGUGGCUUCGGCUUCUGCAGGGAUGACCAGGGCGACGAGGCGGAGCUAACAGCAUGCUCUGGGAGGGGAUCCUAUGGCUAGAGGGGCUGCUGCUCGAGCUCGAGCUCGGCUCCAAUGGCGGCAGCAAGGAGGAGAAAGAGAUCCGGGAGGAGGGAGAGAGCCGAUGCGGGGAAUGGAUAGGGGAGGCCUCAGGGGGCUUAUCCCCGGCCUUGCCAGCGCGAGGCGGCGGCCAGGCAGGCGCACAGGUGCGUGGCCGCGCCGGAGGAGGCGGCGGCCACCUCCUGCUGCCUACUGGCGCGAGGGAGGGGACGAGCCAGGGAUGGGCUGGGCCAGUCUUAGGCGACACGUAAGGAUUUCCCAAUUUUUUCUGUUUUUGUUUUUCUGUUUUGCUAACUAUUGUUUUGCUAAUUAUUUCAGCUCCAAAACAAAAAGUAAAAGCUAUUUUAGACCUCCUGAAAUAUUGUUAUAACAUUCCCAACCAUUUCCAAAGUUUUCAACAUUUUUGGAAAAUUAUAGAUUCUGAUUUCAAAUUUAAAGUUUGAAACCAGUGGCUUUUGUAAUAAUUUAAAAAUGCUUAAGGUGUCAAGAAAAUAGUUUUCUCCAAUGCUCAUUUACUUUCGUGAUUUAUCAGAAAGUUUGAACAUUUCUUGACUCCAUUUUGGGUUCAUUGAUUUGAACAAGUUUGAGAUUUUCUUUAAUUGAAUUAGUGGCUAGGGUUUUGAGUUUUUCCUUUACCACUUUGUUGUUUUUGUUGAAACUUCUUAGAUGCAAAUGCAAAGAAGACAUGAGCACAAGACUAACUUGCUUAAGGGUUAGGGAUGUGACACAAGUGGAUCAUAUCGAUCGGCGACUCAAUGAAGCAACAGAUGCUCUUUCACGCCUCGGUUCACAAUGUCUUUUUGGAUGUGUUACAUAACCCCUCGGUAAGGCUACCUUCAGAGGAAGAUUUGGCGGUACCGGACCCUGAAUCUCAACUUGUGGCGGCUCUUCGUGCUACCCAGGAUUGAGUGAUUCCCUACAUGGUGUAUCUCACGCGAGGCGAGUUACCCACGGAUGAGUUAUUGGCUCGCCAAAUUGUCCGUCGACGCAAAUCUAUGGUCAUACAUAACGGCGAGUUGCAUAAGCGAAGUACUUCACGGGUAUUUCAAAGGUGUGUCUCUUCCGAGGAAGGAUGUAUGAUUCUCAAUGAAAUUCAUGCAGGCGACUGUGGUCAUCAUGUCGGGUCGCGCUCCCUGGUUUCCAAAGCCUUUAGGCAUGGGUUUUAUAGGUCGAUGGCUCAUGCAGAUGAUGAAGAUAUAGUUCGUCGAUGUGAUGGUUGCCAGAAACUUGGACGCCAGAUGCACGUGUCGGCUCAGGAAUUACGGAUGAUUCCAAUUAAUUGGCCAUUUGCGGUCUGGGGGCUGGACAUGGUUGGUCCUUUCAAAAUGUCGUCCAAUAAAAAGACUCACCUAUUGGUGGCGGUUAACAAGUUCACUAAGUGGGUUGAAGCGGAACCCGUUAGUAGCUGUGAUGUAGACACGGCUGUCAAAUUCUUGAAAAAGUUGAUCUUCCGGUUCGGAUACCCUCAUAGUAUCAUUACUGACAAUGGUACUAAUUUAUCAAAGGGCGUAAUGCAAGAGUUUUGCGGACGAGAGCCUAUCCGGCUUGACGUUUCUGCACUCGCACACCCCCAGUCUAAUGGACAGGCAGAAAGGGCGAAUCAGGAAAUAUUGUGAGGAAUCAAGCCCCGGCUUAUGGUGCCUCUGGAGCGUACUCCAGGAUGUUGCGUUGAAGAGUUUCCCUCGGUGUUGUGGAGUAUCAGAACCACCCCAAAUCGCUCCACGGGUUUUACUCCCUUCUUUCUGGUCUACGGGGCAGAGGCAGUUUUGCCAAGUGACAUCAGACAUGAUUCACCGCAAGUCGCCGCCUAUGUGGAACAGGACAACGAGUUGGCACGACAAGAUUCGUUGGAUGCUUUGGAGGAAGAGCGAGACUUGGCUGCAUCACGAUCGGCAAUCUAUUAACAAGACUUGCGACGCUAUCACAACUGCCACGUCAAGAAUCGGACAUUUCAAGAGGGCGACUUAGUGCUCCGGUUGAUUCAAUACCACACUGGUAUGCAUAAGUUAUCACCUCCAUGGGAAGGACCAAUUGUCAUCAGCAAGAAUCUUCGGAACGGUUCAUACUACUUGGUGGAUCUUCGCCCUGAUCGGCCAACUACAGAGGUUGAGACAACUCGCCCCUGGAAUAUUGCCCACUUGCGGCCUUACUACACCUAGAGCCAUGGGCUCCUUUCUUUUCUACAAAUCUCAGAACUUGCAUUCUUUUAUUUAUAAAGCAAUAAAGUAGGCACCCACGAACUUCGGGGUCCUUUGACGUUUCAGCUUCUGGAAAGCAUGAGUCUUUAUUGUUCUAUGAGUCGUCCAAGCAUGGACGCUAUCAGUACCAAAGAGCAUAAGUCGCCACACUGCACUUGUUUCAAAACUGGAUACUGAUAAGCCGAAGAGGACCAAAGUUGCCAUGUUGCACGGUUCAAACAUGGGCGCCUUAUAUGGUUCUGAGAAUUAAGUCGGCUUACUUGGGGGCUACUAGUUCCCAAGUCGUUUUGCAGUAAGAGCGUGAAACGCUUCUGCAAUCCUAUGUCCGACUUUUACCUAAUCAUAGGUCACUUGGGGGCUUCCACUCACUAAGUUCAGCCUGAAUACCCUUUUGGCUAGCGAAAAAUUGCCGCAUUACAAAUGGUUAUACUAGACUAUGUGUUGGACGAGUCGCCCUAUGGGCCCAUGUACUCUUGGUGAGUCAAUCCGGUUUUUGGACCCUGAACUUGCCUUUGUUAAAACAUGAAAGGUACCGGCCAAAGCCACACAUGGAAAAUAGAGAAACCAUUGGUUCACUGAACCUGCUUCACUGAAGCUUGACUCGCGCCUGAUCAGCCGGUCUAAAAAACUUGGGCUGUUGCAAAAGCAUUCUUAGGGUAGCACUACAGUUUUGCAAACUCGUCCUAUCCUAUCGUAGCUCAUCGAGCCGACAAAUUUUUACGACUAUCUUCGUGGCACUGCCGCAAGGUUUCGUAAACCUUUUUAUGACUCGCCGCGACUCAUUGAGUCGGCUCCUUGCUUAUAACUCGCCAUGACUCACUGGGCUGGUUUAUUUCUUUCCACAACUCAUUGAGUCGGCCAAUGGUUUGUAACAUCCCAAAAUUAUAAAUUUUGGAAUGUUAAUAUAAUUAUUAGAUUGAUUGUUUGUUUGUUUGAGUGAUUGAAACUUGAGUGGAAUUUGAAACUUCUCAAAAAAAUGAGAGGGAAUAAAAUGACUUUCCCAAAAAAAUUCUAUUUUGAAUCCCUUUUCAAUUUUGAGUUUGAAUAUUUUCAAAACCCUUUAAUUAAAAAAAAUCAAACGAGAGGAGGAAAAUGACACUCCAAAAUCAGAGACAAUGUCUUGAUUCAAAUUUUAAGUAUUUGCAAUUUAUUUGAAAUUCAAAUUCCUUUUCAUUUUAAAGUUAUUGCAAAAAAAACUUAAAAGUAUUUUAUUUCGUUUUGAAAAUAUGUUCAUGUUUUAGAAAAUUUUAUUCUAAAAUUUUUGAUAUAUAAUAUGUCUAUAUAAAAUGUUCUCUCUUUUUCAUUUAUACGUUUUUCUUCUUUGUUUUAAAAAAAAUUGUUCGUUCGCAAAAAAAAGAAAAAAAAAGAAAAAAAACAAAGGGCACGACUCCUCUUGCGGCCGGCCGAACCAUUACUUGGCCCAUGAGAGGCUUUGUUUCUUUUCUCCACGUUACGUAUAUGUUUAGUCCCACAUUGCCUAUCUAUGGACCAUUAGACCUCCCUUCCACCUAUAAAUAUAGACCCAUAGGAGCAUCCAAAAAUCAUCUAUUUCGGGUUAAAUCAAUCUUUUGGUUUAACUAGAUUUAUUAAAUAAAAAUAUAUUUUUUCUCUUCGGCGGGAUUUCUCGAAGUCGUCUCCUCAUUGAAAUUAAUUCUUACUCUGCAUUGUGAAGGUAUUUCUCUUCGUAUUUUUUAUACUCCCGUAGUUUAUUAUUUCUAGACUAGUAUUCCUACACUAGUAUACGGUAGAGUAAUUAGAUAUAUUAAUUACUCUUCGUAUUUCCACAUUAGUACUAGAAUUCUUUUAGACAUAGCACUUUUCUUCCGUAAAACAGCUUGGCCCUGAUUUUUCAAAUAGCCAUAACUUUUUACUCGUAUAUCCGAAUUAGAUGAAACCAACGCCUAGAGUUUCGUCUUGAUCCCACCUAUCAUGUGAACCUAUCAUAUCAACUUUUCGAAAUUUUCAAAUUUCGAAAUUUGUUCAUAUUCAUAUUCAAACUUCUUUUGAUCAUAUCUUUUUAUCCGUAGCUCCGUUUUAGAUGAAUCCAAUUGCGUCGGAUUCGUAUCAAAGUAAUCCUCCUGUUUGUAUCAUUAGUUUUAAAUUUUCAACUUAUUAUUUUGAUCAAAUCGGAUUUAUCUAUUAGUGCCCAAAAGUGUUCACAUCGUUCUAAGCUGAUUCAAUGUUAUAUUGAAGUAUUUGUAUCUUUUGAUCCGCUAUUUCAAAUCUAGUAAUUCUUUUUUCUACACGCUCGUAUUGAUCUCCUAUAUCCAGUAGCCUCAUUAGUUUCGACCUUUGAACCUUACAAAUUUGAGCGAUUCAAAUUUGUAUUCGAACAUUCAUUUGAUCUUAUCUUGCAAAUCGUACCACCUUUUCAAUUGAUUCCUUUUACCCCUAAACACUCAUGUCAUAUAUUUUUGUACGUAACCAUCGUACUUCAGUUCAACUUCUCUUGACCUUUUGAAUGCAAAUUCAAUUCAUACUUCAAUUUGCUAUAACUUGCGUUGUAGUGCUCCAUUUCAAGAAAUUCUUUCUACAAAUAAAUUCUUAUGUCUUAUACUAUUUGUGAAACAACAUUCAUGUUGUUCUCCCAAUAUUUUUGACCAUCUCCCAUAGUGUAUGCAAGUCGAGCUUAUAUAGCAAUAGUUCAUCGUCCAUUAACUUUUUUGAUCUCAUUCAUGCACCUUCACUUUACAACACACUUAGAACCUUUUUUUAUUAAACCUUAGUUUGUUGUUAUUUUGCACAAAGACAUGUUUUGUUCUUAUGUUCUUUUGGUUCUUCCUUUUGGCAUGAAUGUUUAUUGAAUGAUAUUUGUUUAUGAUAGAUUGCUCGGAGUGUGGCGAGUAGAAUUAUCAGGAUUAUGAGAGCGACUAUCUUCAUCAAGUAAUACCAGGCAAGUCACUUUGAUCAUACUAUCACCUAUGUUUGUGCAUCGUAGUUCUACCAUCCUAUGCCCAAUUGCACGCUGAGUAGGUACUUGGAAAUUUUAGUAUAGAUUGUAGUAUCAUGUGGUAGGCACACAACAACCCCGAUACUUGGCCCCGGGACGACAAAUUUCAUAUUGCUAUGCUUGAGUAGACGGGAUUUCGGUUGAGUGCAUAACACGAGUGAUGCGAGGUUGAUUAAAUAAUCAAGACCGGUUAAGACAAGAUUUUCAAGACCUCAGACGAAAUGCAACUCUGGGUGAAGGACGGUUGAUCAGCUCCCUGGAGAACCCAGUGGAUGACCCGGGAUGCUGGAGAGGCCAUGACAUCCUGCGGAAAGCUUCACCCAGGCUCAAAGAGACGGACGGAUAUUUUCAAGACCCAAGGCUUACCUGCACAGCCACAAGUCAUUAUGGGCUCUGGCUUGGUUGGACAAUGCGGCGACUCUGGACAGGCGGUGCUAGCAGAUGUAGAAGAACGGUAGGAUUGGAUGGGCACCGACAGGGAUUCAGAGGGACCCGUUGAAAGACCAUGUUUUGAUCAUUCGGUCUUCAAACACCCUCAAGUGCGAGGACAUACUCGGAGGCGAUCAAAUCUUGUGGGGAACAUGUGCAAAACUCUGCAGAGUACUCAAACCUAAUCGAUUAGCCGUGUCCACGGUCAUGGACAACUUCAGCCAAAGGAACUGAAGUUAUCUGGAUUUCUCAACACCAUUAAAUAUAUUUCAUGAGGGUAAUUAUUGACAACUCGGGUACGAGAACUGGUUGGCGGAACCAUCUCGUUAACAACCAACAAUGUAGUAACAUUUUGCUUUUAGCCCUCUCUUGUUGUAGGAGAAAAAUUUGCUUUACGCUAAAACUUAUAGCCCCACCUGCCAUAUAUGCAUAUAUUAUAGAUGAUUACUUUUCACCCCUCUCUUAUGUGACUUGCCGGCAUAUUCAAUAUGCUGACCUACACGGCUGCAACGUCUUAUGUUGCAGAUAUUUUUCUUCGACGAGUAAGAGUACGAUUCAGGAUUACGGUCUACACUCAACUUGCCGUUGGUGUUUAUUGGGACUCCACUCCCUUGACCGCUUCCACUGAGAUAUUUAAGGUAUAUAUCAGUUUUACGCUAUUUACAUGUGAUUGCACUUUGAUAUAUACAUUGAUGUACUGUGUGUGCCAGCAUACUGAUCGAGGGAUGGCACAGAAACACAGAGGCUUGACUCGUCUUGAGUCGGGUCGCUACAUGGUUAUUUUUCCCUGAUAAACAGGUUGAAGAAGUUUUUUCUUGUCAAAAUAUGACACCUCCUAAAUUAUCAAGCAUCAGGAUUGGUAAAGGCGACUCAUGAUUUGCAAAAAGGAUAACAGUUCAAGAAUGUCAAGCAAAAGGCAUGGAUAGAAGAUUGUUUCCCUGAAACCUAACAACUAUUACAUGGCCCACUCGGCCAUACCAGGCAUCAUCUCCUGGUCAAGAAGAGAUCAAAUUGUUUUUGAAGAAAUGAUUACAAGCUGGGUAGAUUUAAGCCGCCUCCGGGUCGCCUUGCCUUGAGCUCUCUCCAUCUACAAUUUGUAAGUCGCCCAGUUUCCAGUUACACUUGGACAAGGCGAUGAAUUCAUCUUCGUCGUUCAGAAAAACAGAUAGGUCUGCUUCAAAGUCGAAGGGAUUCUUGCACCGGCGAGGAGUCUGGCUGGUAAUUUCGAACGAAGGAGGAGUCACAUUUUUAUUGUUGUCAUCAUACGCAGCCUGGUAUUUGUUCAAGUCCAAACUGGCCGCCAGCUGAGUCGCCAGGGCGCGGGACUCUUUCAGAACCCGGUGGUAAUCGUCUUCGGUGAACUCCGACUCAUCGUCCUUCAGCUCAGGGUAACCCGCUGCUACCUCCUCUGGCUUGAGUUCACGGGCAUAGGCCAGGCACCGACUUAAGGUGGUCAGAGCUCCUUUGCGGGCGGCUGGCCUCUUUAGUUCCUCUAUUUGGGGUGGCAAAGUUGACACGCAACCCAGCAUAUUCUUGAUGGAUUUAAUUGGCUCCUUGUUUCCCAUCACCGUCUUCAUCGUCAUCAUGCUCCCCGUAUACAGCUGCUCCGUAAAGGUGUAAAUCGCCUUCGGCAUCAGGAUACAGUUGCUUUGGAGAUUGGCGGCUCGCGGACCUACAAAGGAUAAACCGGGACAAUUAGUAUUUGCAUAUUAAACGUAUGGCUUCUCUUUCCGCACAAGGGAAUUGCUUCUUACCAAAGAUGGCUUGGGUUAUGUUGGAGACAUGCUUUUUUAGCCCGGAGAGCUCCUGUAGGGUGGCUUCUAGCUUUGCCUCGGCUUGUUCCGCCCGCUUUAGGAUGGCGGCUUGAUCAGCAUUGGCUUUAUUCUCAAAUUUUUGGUGGUCGGCUUUCAUUUUCUCCAUAUCAGCCAGGGCCAACCGAUAUUUUUCUUCAGAUGCAGUCCGAACAUUCUGUUGUUCGGCUAAGUUUUUCUUCAAAUCGGCAAGGGAUGACUCGGCCCGGGUCACGGAUUCCUGCAAAACAAAUUUUGGGGAAACAAGUUUCAGAAGUGUUGCAAGCAACAUCCCUGACACUUGGGGGCUAAUGUAUGAUUCUUUUCAAAGUCAUACAAAAUUCAAGACCCGACUCAUCUUCCAAAAGAUGACCCGGCCCUUGGGGGCUACAGGUUCAAGUUUUUAUCUAAGUUCAAGACCCGGCUCAUCUUUCAAAAGAUGACCCGGCCCUUGGGCGCUAUUAUUUGAAGUUUUUCUCUAAAUUCAAGACCCGGCUCAUCUUUCAAAAGAUGACCCGGCCCUUGGGGGCUACAGGUUCAAGUUUUUAUCAAGUUCAAGACUCGGCUCAUCUUUCAAAAGAUGACCCGGCCCUUGGGGGCUAUGGACCGAUAUGGGUCUACCAGAUAUUGCAACAAACAUAAUUCAUCAAGCAAGACUAGUCUCCUAGAAGGUUGAUGGGUGGAAGAACACAUAAUAAAGGAUGUACCUCAUGUUUGACUCUCAUCAUGGUGAUCAAGCUCUUCUCCAUUUCAUAACUCGUUUCAUGCGACUUACGAAGCCAGAGCAGAGUUGCUCAAAUUCAAGCUUCUCGUAAUGGGGAAGCUUCAGCUUAGUGAUAUCUUGUUCCGCGGAAGGAUGGGACUCUUUUGAUGCAUGUUUGGAUUACACCGUUGUUGCAGGCUUGGAGUAGCCAGUACCAGUAACAUUUACGGCAUCUGGAUCUUCAGUUGCCUUGGAAGAGCCCGGCGGGUUAACAUUUUCACUGGUCUCCUUUAGAGGGCCUGGAGAGUCGAUCCGGACGUCCACAGGAUCAUCACGAGCUGCCGCUUGGUCUUCAUCAAACUCUGGGGCAGAGGUGCUCAUACCUAACGCCUGAGUCGUUUUACGAGCAGAAGACAAGUCGCCAGCUUUUCUCUUCUUUGCUUGUGCUCUGAGAUGAAGACAUCAAAGUUAGAACAAAUAUCAUCAUUGGGGAGGGAAAAGGUUAAUAAAAGAACUUACCCCUGUACACGAAUCAUUGGUGGAAGAGCUGACAUCACUGAGUCGCCAAAUGAAGGAGGAGAGACUUGAAAAAAUAAAAGUUCAAGGAGUGAACGAGUUGUGAAUAACAUUUUCUACAAGAAGGAGAGUGUGCUAACAGGAGUAUACCUCACUUGGGCGUUUCCAACCGGUUGUCUUUUCAGGUAACCCGGAAACUAAGUCGCCAGAAUGGCUUCGGGUUUUACGUUUGGUAGCAUACCUCGCCUUCUUCAAAAGGAAAUCACGGUCCAGACAAGCAUUUGGGUGAGACAUGGGAACUUUUCCACAAAUCCGCCUGGCCGGCCUAGGUGAUGAGGAAGUUGAGUCAGAAGAAAUAGAAAUUACCUCGACCACGUCAUCUUGGCUCUCAUAGCCAUCGUCCUACGCACAAAGGUAACAGGACAUAAGCAUAAGUCAGAACAUAAUGAUGACAAACAAAAGGGUAAAUUAUUACCUCUGGCUGUUCUCCAUCGGCUCGGGAUUCGCCGACGGCGGAUGACUCUUUGACAGCUGCUUUGCCCUUGCUCUUCUUCUUCUUCUUUGGUGGCAGCUUAGUUGUUUUCUGGACAGUCACCUUUGGCCUUCGAGAGCAAAACGCUGAUCCUUUCUGGUGGAUAGAAUCAAAUUUCAAACCUGGAACAUUGGCACAUAUGUUGAAAAAGGUAAAAGGGGGCGACUUAGAUUGUUACCGGUGGAGCCGGGUUGGAGAGGCAGAAAGGCUUGAGCCCGACCUUGGCACAGUUUUCCAAGGACUCAUCGGUUAAGUUCUUGAUUAUGUCGACAAUGUCUGGCUCGGUGAGUCUUCUAUGAAAAAAGCAUUGGGGAUGGUUCUCGCUGCCAUCGUACUCGCACAUCAGACCAGCCCGGCGACUCAGAGGAAGAAUUCUCCACUCCACCCAACAACAUAAUAGUUCAACCCCGGUGAGCCCAUUGUUGGUCAAAGACCUUAGCUCGGAGAAGAUGGGGAUGAAUUCCGAUUCUUCUUCUUCGGUAAAUUUCUCUGGCGGCUUGAAGUCCAUGGGUAAGCGAUCUUCUCUAUAACCUGGAAGUGGGUUCUCAUCGGGAGGAGAAGUGUCACGACAAUAAAACCAAGACUCGACCCAGCCUUUGGGAUGGCUGGGCAGGAGGACAGGCGGAAACCCACGUUCGCGGCGCCGCUGGAUGUUGACCCCCCGAGUUCCAAGUUGGGCCCGUUGGUAAAUUCGGUAUGGCGGUUCAGAUGGAAGAAGUUCCAAAAUAAUGGAACUGUGGGCUCUGUCUGCAAAUAGGCCUCGCAAAAUACUUGGAAUUGACAGAGGUUACUGAUAGAGUUGGGGCCCAGAUCGUGAGGGUGAACAUUGAGGAAGUGCAGAGCGUCUCUAAAAAACUUUGACCCGGGAGGCUUGAAGCCCCGUUCAAGAUGAUCAAUAAAAACAACUACUUCCUCCUCGGUAGGAUUGGGAGUCACCUCGCCUGGGGCGGUCCGCCAACCAACAACUUCCUUAUGAUCAAGAUAACCCGCCUUAACAUAUUUCUUGACAAAGGCGUCAUUAAUCUUGGUUGGUAGCCAAUUGCAUUUCGAGAUGCUGACCAUGACUACAAAAAAGAAGGAACAAGGCGGCUCAUUAAGGACCAUAAAACGUGGUAACUCGCUAGUUGGAGAUGUACAAUAUGUCCGUAGGGACAUUAUGACUCACCAUUAGGUGACCCAAGGUCUGGAUAUGAGGAUAUUCUAACUCGCCAGUUGAGAGAUUUACGGUAUGUCUACAAAGGCGUUAUGACUUGCCAUUCGGCAAUCAAAGGCGUAGCUAUGGUAAUGUUCUAACUUGCUGCGGUGGAAGAAGGUGAGUGGCGACUCAGAAAGGAUUUUUUUUCCAUAGGGAUAUUCCCGGGAGUAGGAUAAACAAGUUUCUAAAAGCAAGCAAUAAAGUACGGAUCUACAGGUGGAUCAAAUUAAAAAGAUAAUGCUUGACGAAACUUCAAAGACUAUGAACAAGAGAAUGCGACAGGGGUGUCGUAUGAAUCUAUGAAGUAAAAGCAUCAAAAUGGCCGGGAAACGCGGUGAAACUACCAUGACCUACCAUCGCAAAGGAUCUACCAUAACGAAGUUUAUGGAUCUAAAAAGGGGGGGAAUGUUCAUCGCAUUGCUAAAAGUAACCUAUAAGAACAUGGCGGCGAGGUCUAACCCUAAUGAAAGGGAGGUGCUCACCUGAGAGAGAAGUACGAUCCCCGGAGGUGGAUGCGGAAGAUCUGUGGCGGAUGUUGCGCCUUCGGCUCGCGACGGAGCUUCGGGAACGGCAAAGAAACAGAGGCGCACGCGCGAGGAAGACGAAGCUGACGGGGAAGGCGAAGUGGGGGUAGGUGACGGUGCCCCCACUCCCCUUGUGGUUAUUUAAAGGCCGGGCGCUGGAAACAAUGCGGCACGCGCAGGAAUAGAGGCGACAAAUUGAAGAUUUGCAAUGAUGACGCCUGGAUUUUCAGGAUAACUAAAUGGCGGUGAGAAAGAUCCGUUGGGUGCUCGCAUCAUUAAGUCCCAAAAUUGGAGGGAAAAGGGUGAUGUCAUCAAAAACUACUUGGCGGCUCAAACAAUUCAUGAUGGAUGGCGGCUUGUCAUUUGUCAAAAGAUGGGAUUGAUACAAGUCGCCCCAAAAUGAGUGGAAGUUCAUUGGCAUGAAUAAAUUCAAGUCAAUCUGGGGCCUAAUGUUGGGGAUAUUACCUACGGUGUAACCCGCCCUAACUGGGCUGGGUCACUAAAGGGGCGACCCAUCCUUUGGUAAUGCAAGCCCUGGCCCAGGGGCCCAGGAGACGGAUGGUGGUUCAGGAGCGAUGCAGAGGAUAGGCCACCAAGGAGGUUUCCAGUCUUGGAAAGCACGGCGACUUAGAGAUAAGGAAAACCAAGAUCUGUAGCGUGGCUAGGACUCUUGUAAACCCUAGGGCCUCGACCUGUAUAUAAAGGCGAGUCCCCGGGGAAGAUAGGGCAAGUUAGAAAUCAUUGAGAGCUAGGUCACGCGAGUUACACCCUCCUUGUAACCGAAACCAUCAUCAAUAUACACAAAGCAGGACGUAAGCUUUUAUCUCCACAUGAGGGGCCGAACCUGGGUAAAUAUGAGUCUCGCUUUCGCUCACCCCCUUUGAGUCGCCACCAAGGUGCGAUGGCUCCUUCAUUAAGUCCUUUCACGAGGACAUCUGUCGUGACAAAACCACGACACCAUGUGUCCCAAAAUAAGUGUCUCAACUUUGUACUAGCUCUAGUAUAAAGUUGCACUAAUCUUGAGAUAGUUAUUUUGGGAUGGAGGGAGUAUGUGAAAACAAUUAUGAAUCUUGUCUUGACAGUACCUACGUGAAUGAUCUAUAUUUAUCAUACUAAACCAUCUCACGAAGUUCCGUUAAGUUUUGUGUGAUUAAAGUUUUCAAGUUUUGGGUGAGAUACCAAUAUGAGGAGAAUAAGGAGCAGAAAGAACCUAAGCUUGGAGAUUCCCAAGGCACCCCCAAGGUAAUAUCCAAGGAAGACUCAAGCGUCUAAGAUUGGGGAUGCCCUCGAAGGCAUCCCAUCUUUCAUCUCCAACAUUAUCGGUAUAUCUUACUUGGAGAUAUAUUGUUGUUCAUCACAUGAUCUAUGUAUUCCUUCGAGUAUCAUUUUAUUUUGUUCUUCUCUGUUAAGAUGUUAUUUAUAAUCUUUUGUAAAAUAAAAAGUUCCAAGAAUGGCCUUUAGAAUGCUUGAAUUGCAUGUGUGAUGUGUGUUGUACAAAAACAGAAACCUUUGCUCUAGUAUUUCAAUUAUCAUAUUUUACAAUAACAUUUAAAGAUUCUGAAGUUUUUACACGGUACUUUCACACUAAUUACUUAUCAUGUCCUAAAUUUUCAGAAUUUGUAGAGAUACAUAAGUACAUUGUUUAAACAGAUUUCUACAGACUGUUCUGUUUGGACAGAUUGAUGUCAUAGUUUUGUUAUCUACUUAUCCUAUAUUUUCCAUGGCUUGUAUUGGUAGAUAUAAAUUGUGGAAAUGAGAGUAUACAAUACCUUAUGUUUGAAAAUUAUUAUGAAACUUGUCUUGUCCGUACAUUAGGAGUUGAUUUAUGUUUAUGUGUACUAACAUAUCUCACGAGUUCUUUUCAAGUUUUGUGUGGAUGAAGUUUUUGAAACUUAGGUGAAACCGGCAUAUGAGAGGAUUGAAUGAUAUACAAAAGCUCAAGCUUGGGGAUUCCCAAGGCACCCCAAGUAAAUAUUUCAAGAAGUCUCAAGCAUCUAAGCUUGGGGAUGCUACGCAUCCCACCUCUCUUCGUCAACAACUAUCUGUUAGCCUAUGUUGAGCCUAAAUUUUUUACUUCUACACAUGAUAUGUGCUAUUCUUGGAGUGUAUUUUGUUUUAUUUUUUGUUUGAAAUAAAAUAUCAUAUAUGAAAAUAUUUAUUGAUAGAGAGCCCUCACAUAGCUACUUAAUUGUUUGACUACUCAUCGAUCUUCACUUAUAUCUUUUGAGAGUAGUUUGAUUGUUUGCUCUUGUGCUUCACUUAUAUCCUUUGAGUAAAUUGUUGAAUGAAUUGAAUACCAUGAAUUUGAAAUUCUAUGUUCAUUCCAUGCCUAGUAGUAGCUUCACAUUGGGUUUAGAAAGUGGAAUCUUUUGAAGCUUGACAAUCACAAUAUUGGUCAUACAAACAGUUCAUGAAUGAUUGGUAUAAGGAAGAGAACUUUCACAUACAAAUAUAUUAUAUUGGACAUCUUCUAUGAUUGUGAAUACCCAUUAAUUAUUUUAAAACUUGAGAAAAUUAGUUGAAGUUGGACAAGGAAGACAACGUAAUGAGUUAUGGUUGUGUAUAUUUGCAUAGAAGUUAUAUUGUUAUGGAUCCUCCGACAUGUGGUGUUUGCUUAGGAUCUUUUGCUAGCCAAAAAUGCGUACUAAGUAGAGAUACUACUUGUGCAUCCAAGAACCCUUAAAAUCAGUUUCUUGCCAUGAGUGUCCACCAUACCUACCUACGGAUUGAAUAAGAUCCUUCAAGUAAGUUGUCAUCGGUGCAAAAAGGAAAUAAAAAUUGCUUCUAAAUGUGUUUGAUCACUUAGUGUAAGAGAAAAUUGAGUGUUGUAUGAGUUUGUGAUGGCAAAGAAAUAAAAGAAAUGGACUGCAUAAUAAAGGAUGCUAUCAUAAGGGGUAAUACAAUGUGACAUUCUUUUGCAUUAAGGGAUUAUGCAUACAAAACCAAAAAGCGCAUGACAACCUCUGCUUCCCUCUGUGAAGGGUCGAUCUUUUGCCUUUCAGUAUUUACUUUUAUGCAAGAGCCAAUAGUAUGCAUUCUCAUUUCAACAUCAAUUGUUCUCUAGUUGGCAAGCAUCAUGUGGUGGGGAAAGAUAUAGGCACCUAUGGCCAGUAAAAUAUAUUUGACCAUGACUUAUUAUUGUUGAGAAGUAUCUCUAUGAUAAAUGAGUUGGAAGGCAAAAUAUUAAGGGCCCAUCUUUCUUUGUGUUCGAUGGAUGACAUUUUUUCUAAAAAAUAUGCUUUGAGUACUAGCAAUCGUAGAAGGUUAUAUGAUGAUGGAGUAUGUGGAGCUCUUACUUAGACUUUGUUGUGAAUAAGUUGAAUUGCAAUUGUUUGGUGACUAGGAACAUAGGUUGUUAAGUUUCAAGAGAGUUCAUUGUUUGAACCAUAACAUGUUUAUUGGUUGCUACUUUACAAUGAUGAGUUUUAUGAAAAGAGUUGCUAUAAUGAUGCUAGGAAUAAUGGUUGAAAUUAUCAUUGAUCAAACUUAUGCACUAUGCUAGCAUUCACACUUCAUAAAUUAUUUCUUUUAUCAUUUACCUACUCGAGGAUCAGUAGGAAUUAAGCUUGGGGAUGCUCAUACGUCUCCAACAUAUCAAUAAUUUAUGAAGUAUUCAUGUCAUAUUUGCCUAUGUUUACAAUACUUUUAUAUGGUUUUGUUGCACUUUAUAUGAUUUAUUUAGAACUAACCCAGACUGACGUUGUUUUCAGCANNNNNNNNNNNNNNNNNNNNNNNNNNNNNNNNNNNNNNNNNNNNNNNNNNNNNNNNNNNNNNNNNNNNNNNNNNNNNNNNNNNNNNNNNNNNNNNNNNNNNNNNNNNNNNNNNNNNNNNNNNNNNNNNNNNNNNNNNNNNNNNNNNNUCAGCAGGACUACUGUGGUGUUGUUUUUUGUGCAGAAAUAAAAGUUCUCGGAAUUGGAAGAAAAUUUUUGAAGAUUUUUUUGGAAGAAAAAAGAAAUAGUGGAGCAAAGAACCACCAGAGAGGGGCUGGUGCCCACUAGGCACCAAGUCGCGCCAACCCCCUAGCAUGGGCCGAUGUCUAGUGGGCACCUCAUGGCCCAUCUUGGCAUGAUUCCAACGCCCAAAAAUCCUAUAAAUAUAGAAACCUCCAAAAAUAACCAUAGAUGAGAAGUUCUGCCGCCGCAUGCCCCUCUAGCCAUGUAAAACCAAUCUGGAGACGUUCCAGUACCUUGUCAGAGAGGGGAAAUCAUCUCAGGUUGCCAUAUUCAUCAUCCCGAUGGAGGCCAUGACGAGGAGGGAGUAGUCCACCCUCGGGGCUAAGGGUUUGUACCAGUAGCUAUGUUUUUAAUCUCUCUCUCUCUCGGGUUCUUGAAAUGUCAUGAUCUUGAUAUAUCACGGGCCUUGUUAAUAUAGUUGGAUCAUCUCGUGUUUCUCCCAUCCAAUUGUUGUGAUGAAUUGAAUCUUUCACUUUAAGAUCUCGUUAUGUUGGAUUGAAUAUUCAGGUCUGAGAGCAAAUAAUAUAUGUCUUGCAUGCGGAUACACGUAGUGACAUUGGGGUAUUCAAGUGAUUCACUUGAUAUAUGUUGUGGCAUCAACUCGCGGAUUCCCGAGGUGACAAUGGGGUAAUCUAGGCAUAGGGGUUGAUUGCACGUAUUCAUACCAUGUUCUCUGGUAGAAAUCAUGGUGUGCUCCUUGAAGUUCUUCGUGUUGGAUUGAGUAUUAUGAAUCUGAAUUUGUUAUGGUGUUAUUUUAGUGUGAACUCUUGAUAGAUCGAUCGGAAAGGAUAACUUGUUAUCUUAGAACGAACUCCUGGAAAUAUUGAUCAGAAAGAAUAACUUUGAGGUGGUUUCGUACCCUACAAAUAACUUAUUCUUAUGUUCUCUGCUAGAUAGGAACUUUGGAGUGAUUCUUUAUCGCAUGUUGAGGGAUUGUUAUAUGAUCUAACUAUGUUAGCAUUGUUGAGAGAUUGUACUAGCGAAAUUACGGACCCAAUGCCUCACUUUCUAGCAUUGCAACAAUGUUUAUGCUCACUUUUGUUACUUGCUAACUUGUUAUUUUUAUAUUUUCAUAUUACAAAAAAUAUAUCUACUAUCAUUACUACACUUGUAUCACCAUCUCUUCGCCGAACUAGUGCACCUAUACAAUUUACCAUUGUAUUGGGUGUGUUGAGGACACAAGAAACUUUUUAUUAUUUGGUUCCAGGGUUGUUUGAGAGAGACCGUAUUCAUCCUACACCUCCCACGGAUUGAUAAACCUUAGGACAUCCACUUGUGGGAAAUUUGCUACUAGCCUACAAAACUCUGCUCUUGGAGGCCCGACAUGUGUAUACAAGAACAAGUUGUGUAUUAGACAUCAGAGGCAUAACUUCAUUCAUGACAUGACUCUGUUGGCUCACAAAUUAAACUAGAAGGAUUGGGAACGCUUUGUUGCGCCGUUGAUGUAGUUGGUUUAUGUAAAGAAAAUUACUCACUCUGUUUCAAAAUCUAAGGUGUAAUACUUUUUUGAAAAGUCACACCUUUUAAGUGUAACCAAAUUUGUUGAGAAAUAUAUCAAAAUCCAUAAUAUGAAAUCGGUAUGAUUUGAUUCAUCAUGAAAUAAAUUCUCUUUUUUUUGUUUAAUAUCUUGGAUGUUGAUAUUUAUUGCACUGAACUUGGUCAAAUGAAAAUAAAAUUGAUUUUUCAAAAAAUUAAUGCCCCUUAUUCAGAAGUGAUGGAAUAUUUAGUUUGGCGGGUGAGGGGGUGAUAGAGUGGGUUUUAUUUUUAUUUGUAAUGCGGUGAUUUGACGAGACUUUCAUGAUGUGGUUUUAUGUUAUCCACUAGCCAACAUAUAUUUAUGUGGGGGAACAUGUGCAUCGGUGGCAACUAUAUUGAUGCUAUAAUAUCACAUGGUGGAGAAUAUUGUUUCUAGGUGGUGGGACGGUGUGCGGAAUUGAUAUAUUUUUAUUGGCUGGUUGGUGUUGAUUGAUAGAAAAAACAUUGGCCCGGUCAAAAUCAUAAACCAAAUCAAAAAUGAAAUACCUUAAUUAAAUGACAAAACUUUAAAAUUAGGGAACAUAUAGUACUAAAAAUAUAUGAGGGCUCCUUGGGAAAUUGUUGACCCGGUCAAAAUUAGCCAACCCAAUUCUAAAUUUAAGACCUCAAUUAAUUAUGAGGCCUUAAAAAUAGAAAGCAUAUUGCAUAGUAUAAAAAUGAAUAAGAGAGUUUUGAGAAACUAUUGACCCAUCCAAAAUAGAGUUACUCGGUUUUAAUUAAAUACCCCAAAUAAUUAUGAGGCCUUAAAAAUUAGUAAGCAUAGUGUAUGGUAUAAAAGAAUUGAAUGAGAGAGAUUUGAGAAAUUGUUGACCCUAUUCCAACUCAAUUGAAUGUGAGCUCUUUAAAACUAUGGAGUUUAGUGUUAUACUAGAAGGGAAUUGUGUGCUUUGCUCGGUCGCUUAUAUUCUUGGGGUUGUACAUGUUUCAUGUAAAAAAUAAAGUUCUAAUAAAUAUUCGUAUUAGUUGGUUUGGCGGGUGGGGGAUACAAUGAAGUGCAUUUUUUAUGAGAUAUGCUACUCCUAGGGACAUACGUUGCAUAAUCAUGCUUACAGAUGAAUGUGUCAAUUUAUGGUCAGGUCUUAGGGAAAAGGUGGGCCAACGGUGCAAAUCGAGGAAGUGAUUAGUGAGACAAUGUAUGAUAUAACCAAUCUCUAGCGAAUUGUUCGUGAGUGUAUCAGUUUUAUUUUUUUUAUUAUGGUGUUUAGGUAGAUUUUUUUGACGUCUUUUAAUUAGUACAAAAGCAUGAGAAGUUACUUACGUUGUGUGAAGUCUGUGUUAUGCUGAUGCCAAACGUGUCAUGGGCGACACUUCUAUUUUGUCACCCAUUCACUCAGGGAUCCCACAAUGGAGGCAGGAUGAACGACCAAUCAAUUAUGUAUCCAAUCAAAACUGAAGAGUUGAAUGAGGAAUUUUAAAACGGGAUAGCUUAACGAAGUUAGAGAUUUCAUUGCCAUAACAAAGGAUUGACGGAAUCAAAAUCAAGGGUUGACGGGAAAAGCUUAAAAAUUAGGGAGCAUGGUGUAUUAAAAAUGAAUGAGAGAGCUCAUUAUGGAAUUGUUGACUUAGUCAAAAUUGAAUGAUCCAACUUCAUAUUCAGAGCUCAAUUGGUUGUGAGACCUUCAAAAACAGGGAGCCUAGUGUUAAAGAGGAUUAAAAUAAUUGAGUGAAUAAUUGUUGAUUCGGUCAAAAUCGAUGACCCAAUUUCAAAUCGGUGACCUCAAUUGAAUGAGAGCCUCCAAUUCUAGUGGGUUUAGUGAUAUAAUAUAUUCCCAUAUUGUUCUUAUUUAAUAUCUUGAAUGUUGGUGGGGGUGUGAAAUUGGUAUGUUUUUAUAGGCCAAAUGACGGGGGGAUAACCCCAGGGUAAGCACAUCGAGCCUACUCCUUCGCCUUCAGGUGAGGCAGGGGACGGAUGUUUUCCCGCACGCCGGAUCCUCCUGGCCGGAUGUGGGGCCCAUGCCGGCUCCAGCUCCUCCUGGUCGGGUGAGCGACCCGAGCCAGCUAGGAGUCUACGGAUCGCCAUCCGUCUCGAUGGCCACUCGCCGGCCGAAUGGUGAGCACCUGGCGCAUCAACACGACUCAUGCGACUCAUGCCCACAACUAAGGAUAGGAUGUCGUUAGCACUGGUACUACGGAGUGGCGAGCUCGCGGCUACAGUGGAGGCGGCAGUACUGCUGACCGGUGUCGGCUGUGCCAGUCGCCCUCGCACAGUGUCGGCACGCCUCCACCCACUCCAUUACCUGCCCUAGCAUGGCUACAGUGGACCCGGACGUAUCGCUGACCACGUCGGUUCCCGCACCGACGACGGCCAUAGUGCGGCCUGGGCCGCGCCAAACGGACACGCUCCAAUUCCAUCGGCCAGCCGACGGGCCCCAGCAUCCGACGGGGCCCUACAGCCGGCGAGCCCCAUAGGCGACAAGACUACUCAGUCAUGGGACCCUCUAGCCGGCGAGCCCCAUAGGCACAAGACUGCUCAGUCAUGGGACCCUCUAGCCGGCCUGAGAGGCUACCAGCCGGGUCCCCCUAUGUACCUGAUAUCAAUAUUGUAUGUCGUGGGGGUCGCCUAUAAAACCCCCUGACCCUCCUCCAUGGAGAGGGUCGGCCAUUCCCAUGCACGAACAUACUCACACACACACGAGAGGUAGAUCGCAAGCCAGCUGCUCCUUCUUCCUCCUCCGUCGAAACAGCUCGAGGAGCAGCCUGUAAAGACUUUGGUUCAUCAACCAUCCCAGCAGGACUAGGGGUGUUACCUCCCACAGAGGGCCUCGAACCUUGGUACAUCGUGUGUCUCGCACCGCUUGUACCAAUCUCGUUACCGGAGCCCGCUGGUGUCCAUCUGCCCCAACCACUCUCGGUAAGCAACCCCAUAGCAUCCGUCCCGAGAAAAUGACGACAGUUGGCGCCCACCAUCGGGCCGUCCGCGGCGCCGCACAGAGUUAUGCUCCGGACGAGACCCCUCGCCAACCCCGUCGGACGCCUCGCGUUUGGACUGAUCAACUAGCUCGUGGAGCAUGCCUCCACGGAAGCUUCCGCAUGGCUAACGGUCGGCUCUGCCUGCCCUGCAGGCUCCGCCGUCGUCCCCAUCGUCGAGCCGCGUCGCGGCGACGCCGCCCUUGACGUUGAUGCUCUCUGCACGCUCUUCAGUGAGUUGUGCCAUGACGACGCGCCUGUGUCCGACAAGUAUCCUAGCGAGGUACUCGACUCCACCGAUCCACCAUCAUUCACGGGAUCCUCCUCUUCGCUCGACGUCGCUUCCUCCUCCAUCCUUCUGGAGGUGAUGGUUGCCGGCUCCAGCACCAGCUCGGGCCGUGGCAGACGCUGCCGCGGCUCGUCCGGGUUUGGCUGACCCUCUCCUUGCCACUCUGCACGGCCUGAGCACCCCCAUGGCGCCAUCUAUGAACCCGACCGCCACCACAGCCGAGCUGGAGGAAGCUCGCAAACGUAUAUUUGCGGACGGCACCGCCCUCGCAGCUUCCAAGCACCGGAUGGAGGCGGCGCAGCGCAAGUACAACUCCGCUUAUGAACUCACUCCGGCCAGCGAUGGUCCCAACCGGCGUGGUGAGGUUUGUAAUCGCUGUCCCGUUGUCACCGACAUCCUCGGCGGCAAGUUGCCCAUCUACGACACCCCCCGCAGCCAGCAUGCGGGCCGUCCAGGUGGCCCAAGAGGAGAUGGCCACCAAGGAGGGCGAGGAGCGUGCGCGGCAAAGAAGCACAUUCAGGAGCUCCUUGCCGCCCCAACGAGAAACAAGGUCGUCUCGACCCACACCACGCCUUCUCCGUAACCCCUCGUUACGAGUACGAGGACCUGUGGGCGCCUACAGGCCGCCAGCCGGCCCAGCACUCCUCCUCUCCCCGUGGCUCAAGUCGGAAGAUCGACGGGAGCCGCGGCCCGCGCACUUAGUGCGAAAACGAGCAACCGCCAGUCUCCAGCCGACUUCACGAGCCGGCCGGGGGAGCCCAACGGCUGCCUCGCGCCCCUACUCCGCCCCUGCGACGGGAGCGGGCCGGCUCGCCCCCACGUGUCGUUCAGCCGGAACUCGCGGCCCCGAUCGUACCGCGCGUCCCCGGCAUCGAGAAUGACGCUCGCACCCGCCUCGAUCGGCUGGCGCCCACCUCGAGGAGGAGGGCCCAAUCAGUCAAGCAUGCUUCGGCCCCUGGAUCCGCGAAGAGGCGUUCCCAACUGGCUUCACGCUCCCAUGCAACACUCCAAAGUACAACGGCACCGCCAAGCCCGAGAACUGGCUCAUCAACUUUACCACUUCAGUCGGCAUCGCCAGGGGGAACAAGCACGUAGCCAUCCGCUACGUGUCGCUCAUGCUGACCGGCUCAGCCCGGGCCUGGCCUGUCGGCCGGCAGCGUCAACACCUGGGUCGACUUCGAGGAGGCCUUCAUUCGCAACUUCACUGGCACCUACAAGCGCCCUGGCCGCCCCCGCGAGCUGGCUAUGUGCGCCCAGAAGCCGGACAAGCCCCUCCGUGACUAUGUCACGCGCUGGACUGAGCGGCGCAACUCCUGUGAAAGAGUCCAUGAGGUGCAGUCCCUCCAGUACUUCAUCGAGGGCUGCCGAGAUGGCACCCUCCUCAAGCACAAGCUUAUGUGCUCCGAGCCGACUACGAUGGUGGUGCUCAUGGCCAAGAUGGACAAGUACGCCACGGUCGAUUCCGCAAUGCGGAUCAAGGUCAAUGCGGCCGACAAGCCCACCGAGCUGCCCGCCACGACGCGAUGGCUGGCGACAACCACGGCUAGCAGAACAACAAGUGCAAAUCCGACCAAUGGGAUCCUCGGCAUGGGAGCAAGCAGGUUGCAGCUGUCGAGGAAGAGCAGACGGCUCCUUAGGCCGGCAGCCAACGCCAGCAAGCCGGCAAGGACGCCUGGCAUCCCAAGCUCACCUUCGAGCAGAUGCUCGAUACGUCGUGCAAAAUGCACUCCGGGGCAAAGCCGGCUACCCACACCCUCCGGCAGUGCGGCUUCUCACACCGACUGGCCCAGGGCAAGGGCCUGCCGGCGGCAAGCCCCGGCUCCCGGAUCGGGUCCGGCUUUGGCUCCCCACAACGACGGCCGCCUCCGCCACCAAUUCAACGAGCAGGACGGGGCCUACGUCGUCUUCACCAGCGAGGGUGAUGACAAGCAUAGCCAACGCCAGCGCCAGCACGAGGUAAACGGCACAGUCCCCUUGAUUCCCCAAUACAUGCACCGGUGUGAGAAGCCAAUUACUUGGAGCCGGGCAGACCACCCGGCGGUGAUGCCAAAUCUUGGCAGCAACGCGCUCGUCCUCGACCCCACCAUCGCCUUCAAUAGGCUCACCUGUCGGUUCUCACGGGUUAUGGUGGACGGCGGCAGCAGCAUCAACAUCCUCUACAUUGAUACCCUGCUCAAGUUGGGGCUCAAAGAGAAGGACCUGCAGCUGACCCGAACUGUCUUCCACAACAUCAUGUCGGGGUAGUCCUACUCCCUCAUUGGCAAGAUCCAGCUAGACGUCCUCUUCGGCGACAAGGCUCACUUUCGUUGUGAGCCAAUAUGGUUCGAGGUGGUGGACCUCGAUGGACCCUACCAUGCGUUGUUGGGCAGGCUGGCGCUCGCCAAGUUCAUGGUGAUCCCCCAUUACGUCUACCUCAAGAUGAAGAUGUCGGGGCCCAAGGGCUUUAUCACCAUUGACGGCGAUUACAAGAAGUUGGUCGAGUGCGCAUGCGACAGCAGCCGGCUAGCCGAAGCACUAGUAAUCGCGGAGGAGAGGAGGCAACUCGACCAUAUGGUGGCUCAGGCCACCAAGCAGCCAGUCAUGCCAAUCGCCCCCCCCCCGUCCCAAUAGGCCAGCGAGGCCUCGUUCGAGCCGUCUAAGGACACCAAGAAGGUGCCGCUCGACCCGGCUAACCCCCAGCAGUGCGUCACCAUUGACUCCAACCUCAAUCCCAAAUAGGAAGGCGAGCUCAUCGACUUCCUCUGUGAGAAUCGGGAUAUCUUUUCAUGGUCCCCCAAGGACAUGUCGGGUAUUCCGAGGGAGUACGCCGACCACAAGCUUCAUGUGCGGUAGGAUGCGAAGCCGGUCAAACAACCAUUGCAUCGUUUCUCCGAAGAGAAGGGGUGCACCAUCGGAGAAGAGAUUGCUCGGCUGCUCGCAGUUGGCUUCAUCCUGAAAGUUUUUCCACCCCAGACUGGCUGGCCAAUCCAGUCCUGGUGCUGAAGAAGAACAAGACCUGGCACAUGUGUAUCGACUACACGAUCUUUAACAAGGCACGUCCAAAGGUCGCUUUCACCCUGCCAUGGAUAAAUCAAGUGAUCGACUCCAUGACCGGCUGAGAUUUGAUAUCUUUCUUGGACACCUACUCCGGCUACCAUCAGAUCAACUUGGAUCCAGCCGACCGGCUCAAGACGUCCUUCAUCACCCCCUUCGGAGCCUAUUGCUACACCACCAUGACAUUCCGCCUGAAGAAUGCAGGCUCAACCUUCCAGCUGCAGCACGGCGUUGGAGGCGAGGUGGUGCGCCUGCAGGACGAAGUGCUUCAAGAAGUUGGAGAAGAAGUCGCUCGCUGGUAACCCGAAUCCGCGAGCAAAGUGCUCGGCGAACACAACCACCUCGUCGGCCUACGGGGCCGGAGAGUUCUCCGCCCCCGGGAACGCGUGCGGCGACGAACUCCGCCCACGGUAGCUUGCGGCGGUAGCGGAGGAACUCAAUCUGGUCCUUGUCAACGUCGAUGUCGUCCCACACGCCUCGGGUCGAAGCCAUGCCGGCGGCGGCUCGGGGCGCGACGCUAAAGGCGAGGAAAGGCGGCGAGGCGUGUCGCUCGGCGGCGACGAGCACUCCGACGACGUCCCUCUCUCUGGCUUCGGGAGGGAGGGGUGUCGGAAUGGCAGGGGCGGGGGCGAGGAACAAAUGGCUCCCUCGACUCCCCCUCCUCCCCAUUUAAACCCCAUGUGGGGUAAUGGGGAGGGGAUCCGUUGCGCAUGAUCCCCACCCCCUCCGUGCCGCGCGGCGACGUUAUUGCGCUACGGGGCACCAACCGUCGCCUCGAAAUCCGCAAAGGAUCCGCGCGCGGGGCCGAGGCAGCGGUCGUGCAAGCCCCGCCCCGCUGCCCAGUCACAUCGCCCGCGUGGCGUGUCAGGGCGCGGCCCCGACGCGUUACACGUGGCGCGACGCGGAAACGACGGAGAACCCGAGGCGUCAUGCGGACGCAGGCCGGCUGCAGAACCGACCGUCUCCGACCAACAGGCAACAGAUCGCACGCUCAAGGGCUUGCCAGCACACUGCCAAGCCGGCGGGCCUCCCCUAUUUCGUGGACUAUUGAUGGGGGAUAACCCCGGGUUAGACACAUCGAGCCUACUCCUUCGCCUUCACGUAAGGCACGGGACGAAUGUUUUCCCGCACGCCGGCUCCUCCUUGCCGGAUGCGGGGCCCGUGCCGGCUCCGGCUCCUCCUAACCGGAAGCGCGACCCGCCCCGGCUAGGAGUAGACGGAUCGCCAUCCGGCUCAAUGGCCACCCGCCAUCUGGAUGGUGAGACGACUGAUGCGAUUGGUGCCCACGACUAAGGACGGGAUGGCGUCAGCACUGGUACUGCGAAGUGGCGAGCUCGUGGCUAAAGUGGAGGCGGUCGUACUGCUGACCGGCACAGGUUGUGCCGGUCGCCCUCUCACAAUGCCCGCACGCCUCCACCUACUCCAUUACCUGCCCCGGCAUGGCUACAGUGGACCCGGUCGUACCGCUGACCAUGCCGGGUCCCGCGCCGACAACGACCAUAGUGCGUCCUAGGCCAUGCCAGACGUACACGCUCCAAUCCCAUCGGCCAGCCGGUGGGCCCCAGCAUCCGACGGGACCCUGCAGUCAGCGGGCCCCGUAGGCGACAAGACUGCUUAGUCAUGGGACCCUCUGGCCGCCCUGGGAGGCUGCGAGUCGGGUCCCUCCUAUGUACCUUAUAUCAAUAUUGUACGCGGGGGGGUGCCUAUAAAACCCCCUGGCCCUCCUCCAUGUAGAGGGUUGGCCAUUCCCACGCACGAACAUACACACGCACAUAGGAGAGGUAGAACGUGAGCCGGCUGCUCCUUCUUCCUUCUCCGUCGAACAGCUCAAGGAGCAACCUGUAAACACUUUGGUUCAUCAACCAUUCCGGUAGGGCUAUGGGUGUUACCUCUCUCGAAGGGCCUCGAACCUAGAUACAUCGUGUGUCUCGCACCGGUUGUACCAAUCCCGUUACCGGAGCCCGCCGGUGUCCUUCGUCCCCAACCACUCUCGAUAAGCCACCCCAUGGCAUCUAUCCCGAGAAAACGACAACAUUAAAUGUUGUUGAUUAAUAGAAAAAUCGUUGGCCCGAUCAGAAUCGUAAACCAAAUUCAAAAUUAAAUAGGUCAACUGAAUGAAAAAAAAACUUCAGAAUUCGAGAACAUAUAAAACCAAAAGGAUAUAUAAAUGCGAGGGCUCGAUUUUAAUUAAAGAUCCAAAUUAAUUAUGAGGCCUUAGAAAUUAGCAAGCAUAAUGUAUAGUAUAAAGGAACUAAAUGGGAGAUUUGAAAAAUUGUUGACCCGAUAAAAAUUGAAUGACCCAAUUUUAAUUACUUUCUGUGUCUCGGUUUAUAAGUCAUCUUAUGAAAACCAAAUAAUCCCAAAAAACUAAGGCACAAUGCAUUAACUUUCAUCUCGUUUCUUAUUUUUUGACUUAAAUACAGGAAUCAAUCAAUAAGAGAUGUAUGUUUUUAAUAACUUGAGACUAACUAGCACAACAUACAGUGUUCAAUUCAUUGCAUGCAAUUGUAUUAAUUAGCAAGUUAACAUUAAUUUCUCUUAUUUUUCUCUCCGUCUUGGUUGUCGUGCACAACCUAAGAUGACCUAUAAACCGAGACGAAGAGAGUAGAGACCUCAAUUGAAUAUGAGCUUUUUAAAACUAAGAAGCUUAGUAUUGUAAGUAUGUAUGUAAAUAUACGAUAGCUACUUAGACUGGAUUUCUCAUUUUCCCUAGAGUUGUAGGUAAUACUAGUUUGUAAGUAUUUUUUUUUUUCUUUACUUUUCUGCUAACCACUUGUAUAGUCUUUUAUGUUUUAUUGAUUUAUUAUUCAUAAAGUAAAAUGUGAUGCUUUUGCCUUGCAGUACAUAGUAAAAAAACAUAACUACAUCAACAUAUGCUUUAGGAUGUACGUAAGUUCUUCGGAAAUAUCUUGGGAGGAUCACAAAAGAACACUGGAAUUUAAUGUAACAUGUCAAUGCACGUAGUCAACAUACAGCGUAGCGUCGUGUCCAUGGACUGUUAACUUGCAUACACCAUGAAUAUAACAACAAAUGAAUCCAUCAUAUCUCAGAUCAGUUGAAGUUUGUGAUGAAUCCAACUGAACAAUACAGCUAAAGAGAACUCCACACAUUCAGGUUCUUUGUCUCCCUGGUUGCUUAGCCUCAGAGGCGAUACAAUACCUAUACACGGUAAGGAUUGGAAAUCUAUACAAAGGGACAACUGUAAGUUUCAUCAUGGCUUUCUGAACCUAGAUUCUCUGUCCCAACUUCUGGCAAUCCAAUGAUGCUGCGCACAAUGCUGACCCUCAUCUAACAUAUAGAAGCUAACCCAACAACAGCUCACGUAACCAAUAAAUAUAAAUAACACAAACUAAUGCAUUAGUUGAAUCGAACCUAUCCUCGCAAAUCAAUUGUUUUGGACAGGAACUGCUGCAGAAGUAUCUUUCAGGAGGGAAUUCUUCAGGCCGUCUGGAUUAAUUUUCAUGCUGUGCAGAGUUUGUGCACUCUCUGGUGGCUUCUUACCUCCAAGUUCUAAAGUCGUAUCCAUUGUAGACUCACUGUCAGCAGCCUUCUCUGUGCUGGUUGGAAGCUUCUGAUCUGAUGUUGAAGACACUAUUCUGGAUUGCUCUGUGAUUGUCAUUGCUGGGGUGAUCACAGAGACGGAUUCGUUCCUUGAUUCGUUGCUGCUUCUAAAAGGUUGACCAUGGUUGUGCUUACCUUCAUAGGUUACUACCAUAUUGUUUAUGUCAUCUGGUGCUCUUUCAACGUGCUUACGGACAGGGCACCCAUCAUGUGUGCAGCGAUAAUAGCUCCUGCGGUUGAGCAAGAAAGCAAUUUCAACAAAACAAUACCUCAAGUAGGGCAGAGAAUAAUAUUCAUACUUUUUUAGCAACCGACAGAAUUGCUAUCAAUUCAUUUAUAUACAUAUCCACAUUACACCAUAGAUAAAUGGUCUCUAGCACAUUCCAAAUGUAUGACAAGAAAGCUAAAAAACAUAUAAAUGCGUGGGUAACCUGUGAUAUUUGGACACAGGCUGCAGGAUUGUAGCACAAGAAAAAUGGGUAAAUUUGAGCAAAUGUAUAUCGAAUUUCUCUGAAGCAUAACUCAAGUAUGGAGCAUUGGGUGCCUCAAGGAAUACAGUGCCUGAUGGGUUUCACAAAAGAGCUUCAAUGAGUGAAACAAUAUCCAGAGUGCAUCUAGUAAACCAAUGUCCAGACUCCAGAGUGUACCUAUGUAGUCUUUCAGUGCACAUCUAGUAAAUCAAUUGCCAAUGGUAUACUGAUUAGUAUACAUCCCUUUAAGUUACUGCUCAUGCCACCCCAAUACUAUUGCAUUGACCACAAGCUCAAUGGCCAAUAGGUGAAACAGCAUGAUCACAGGUACAGACAUGCAACGACAUUAAGCCUCACCCAAAUUUGCCUCCAGCCAAAAAUGGCGAGGUGCCGAGGCUCGGAGCAACAGGGCAGCAUCACCCCUUGCCGGACACCUGGGACGAUUGCAGCUCCAGGACUGCCAAGGCUAACGUACCUCGCACCAAUGUGCCUAGAGAGUCGGUGGCUGAAAGGCAGGGCCCGACUGGAACUGGUGAUUUAUUCAUUGGGGAAGCACCGGCGCUGGCAUACCCUGUGACCUACUCCCUGUGUAGCAGUCUAUGCUACAGAGCGAUGCAUCACCAGCCUAAUGGGGCGGUAUAGACCAAUAUGUGGGAUGAUAUGACCAGUAUUUAGCCUACUUCUUUUAUUGUUAUAGGCCUAUAUGUAUAUAAGGGCAUCUCCAACGCUGACCCGCAAAUUUCCUCCCGCGCCCUUCCACGGAGGCGGGUGUUAGUUGUUUUAGCCUGAGCAUUGAUAGUUGUGGAUGACACUGUGAGAGUUGGGGCAAUUUUCCUUGGUUUAUUUCUCACACAAUGUCAUGCCAACCUGAGGGGUUGGGGAUACAUAUUUAUAGGCUGCUAGCCAGCCAAGCAUAUGCUAAGAUGCUAGUCUAAGAUGCUAUCCUAACUGCCAGUUCUUGGUGGUCAAGGAUGCUAUCCUAAUAGCCACAAGGACACAAGGACCAUGUUCUGCAGCCCCACAAAGGACCAUGUGCUGCAGUCCCACAAAGACCUUAGUACAAAGACUUAUCCAUCAUUCUCCCCCUAAGUAUUGUGCGUCGUCUUGUGGGAGAGUCGAAUCUCCUCAAGCAGAGUUCGGGGAACUUGAUCCUCCCAAGAGGCUUGGUGAGCAGGUCUGCGAGCCGGUCCGUGGUGUUAAUGUAGCUCGCCUCCAUGCUCCCUUCAUCCAAACAGCUUCGGAUGAAGUGAUACCUCAGUCGGAUGUGCUUGCUCCGUUCGUGGAAAACAGGGUUCUUUGCCAGGGCCAGGGCGGACUUGCUGUCCACCGUGAGCUGCACCGUUCUGGUGUCUCGGACGAGAUCACCAAGCAGUCGAGCGAGCGAGCCAGAGCGCCUGAGUGCAGGCGGUGGGGGCCGCUAGGUACUCGGCCUCGCAGCUGGACAGGGCCACCACCUGCUGCUUGACGGACUGCCAGCUCACGAGACACUUGCCGAGGAAGAAGAGGAUCCCGCUCGUGCUCUUACUGUUGUGGAUGUCGCCGGCGUGGUCGAUGUCUCUAUACCCGACGAAGUGUGCCGCCCCCGGACACCUAGGGUAGUGGAGGCCAUGGUCGAGGGUCCCCGCCACGUAGCGGAUGAUCCUCUUCACUGCUUGCUGGUGCUCCGUCGCCGGUCGCUCCAUGAACCAACUAACAUAGCCGAUGGAGAAUGCCAAGUCCGACCGUGUGUGGGUGAGGUAGCGAAGGCUCCCCACAAGGCGCCGAUACUGCGUAGCGUCCACUUCCUCCGUUGUGCUGUCGCGUAUCAGUUUCAGCCUCUCCUGAGUGAGAGUUGGGUGGCAGUCGGUGAGCCCAGCUAGCUCAACGAUGCACUUGGCGUAGGCGGACUGUCGAAGCGCGAUCCCGGAGUGAUCCUGGUGCACCUCGAUCUCUAGAUAGAAGGAGAGGAGCCCCAGAUCACUCAUCUGGAAGGUUGUAACGCCCAAGAUGCGCUUCUAUCCUUGUCGAGGCCCUCGCGCCAAAAUAAGGAUAGGAUCGCAUCUUGGGUGUUAUAAAGGUGGCCUUCACUUCUUCAUUGAACACCGCCACCUCUGCAUCCUUAAUGUCGGUGAUCACCAAGUCGUCAACAUAGACGCCCACCAACAGGGCAUUUCCUCGACUGCCCCAUCGGUAGACGGCCGCCUCAUGCGGGCUUUGCUCGAAACCCAUCUUCUUUAGCGUGGAGUCCAGCUUGGCGUUCCACGCCCUAGGUGCCUGUCGUAGGCCAUAGAGAGCCUUACGCAGGCGGAGUACCUUGCCCUCCUAGCCGGGGAUCGCAAAUCCCGGCGACUUAUGCACGUAGACUUCCUCCCUCAAGUCGUCGUUGAGGAACGCCGACUUGACAUCCAUGUGAUGGACACACCAACCCUCCUUGGCAGCUAGCGCAAGGAGAAGUCGCACGGACUCCAUCCGUGCCACGGGAGCGAAAGCAUCGUCGAAGUCGGCUCCUUCAUGCUGCAAGAAGCCUCGGGCCACCAAGCGAGCCUUGUGCUUGACGAUGGCGUCGGCUUUAUCCCUCUUCAGCUUGAACACCCACUUAAGGGUGAUCGUGCGAUGACCACGAGGGAGGUCAGGGAGCUCCCAGGUGCGGUUCUGCUCGACCGCAUCCAUCUCCAACUGCAUCGCGGCGCGCCAUGCCGCGUCUCUCUCGGCCUCUGCAAAGGACCAAGGUUUGCCGUCCUCACACGCAAGUUGUAGCUGCGCCUCCAGAUCACGUGGCACCAGUCCAGGCACCGGCUGGUCGCUGAGUAGAUUUUCCAGCGUACGAUACCGCAGCGGUUCGCCGCCAUGAUACACGUCGAUGUGCUCCUCGUCGUGAGUGAGCGGGGAGGCGAACUCCACCGGGCUGUGCUCGGCGUGAGCUGGUGCUGAUGAAGACGAGCCCGAAGGGGUGACUGCCGGUGCUGGAGUACAUGACAUCGCCGGUUGUGGUGUCGUCGGAGUAGCAAACCCCGGGGUCGAUGGAGUUUUGGGAACUGAGGUAGACAUGCUCGGCGAAGAGGAGCUGCUUGCUCCCCCUGCUUCCUUGAAGUGGACGUACUCGACAAUGAAGUCGUCAUACGUCAGAGUCGAGUCGUCGUCCACCGCCUUGUCCCAUGCCCACCCUCGCCCUUCGUUGCAACGUCUCGCGCCGUGCGCACACGCUGUGUCUUUGGGUCGAGGAUGCGGUAGGCCUUCGAGCCCUCCGCGUAGCCAAUGAAAACUCCAGGAGUGCUCCUGUCGUCGAGCUUGCCGAUGUGGCCGAGCACCUUGGCGAACGCGAGGCAGCCAAAGACCCGCAAGUGGCAGACCGCCGGCUUCCGCCCAUGCCAGGCCUCGUACGACGUCCUAUCGUCGAGUGCUGUAGUAGGCGAGCGGUUGAGGAUGUAGACGGCUGUCAGCACCGCCUCUCCCCAGAAAACAGUCGACAUCCCUCUCUGCUUGAGGAGAGCCCGAGCCAUCCCCACAAUCGUUUGGUUGCGCCGCUCGACGACGCCGUUCUGCUGCGGGUUGUACGGCGCGGAGUAGUGGCGCCGGAUGCCCUCAGCAGCGCAGUACGACGCGAAUUCAGUCGUCGUUGUCAAUGCGCAGCACGCGCAGUUUGCGGCUGCUCUCCGCCUCCGCAACAACCUGCGCACGCCUGAUGGCGUCCGCCGCCUCUCCCUUGUUGCCGAGGACCAUCGCCCACAUGUAGCGAGAGAGGUCGUCGACGAGCAGCAGGAAGUAGCGUCGACCUCCUGGUGUGGCUAGCGUCACCGGGCCGCAUAGGUCCCCGUGCACGAGCUCAAGCCUCUCCUUGGCCCGGAAACUCGCCUGCUGGGGACAGGGGAGUCGCCUCUGCUUCGUCAACACACAGAUGUCGCAGAACUGCUCCACAUGGUCGAGGCACGACAGGCCUCGCACCAUCUCCUUCAGGGCCUCGAAAUGAAGGUGCCCAAAGCGCUCAUGCCAUUGCCACGCCUCGUCGUCCCGACAGGCAGCGAGACAGAUGGGUUGUGCCACCUGCAAGUCAAGGACGUAGAGUCGAUUUUCACCUCUAGGUACCUUGGCGAGAAGGCGACGCUGGCGAUCCAAGAUGCGUAGGACCCCAUGCUCGAUUAGCACGCGUGAGCCGUUCUCAUCCAGCUCUCCCAAGCUGAUGAUGGAGUUCCUUAGCAUAGGGAAGUAGUAGACAUCGCUGAGCAGCCGGUGCUCUCCCGUCUUGGCAGUGAAGAUGAUGGAGCCGACGCCCUUAAUUUCCACGACAGAGGCAUCCCCAAACUUGACGGAGCCUCGCGCGUCGAAGUGAAGCUCAGCGAAGAAUUCCCUUCGACCGGUCUUGUCCUUCCUGGAGCCAUCGCCAAGAAGAACGUGCGCUUUUGGCUCGUCAAGGUGGAGGAGAGCCUUUGCGGCUGGUAUCGCUGAAGGUAGCUCGAUGCUUGCAUGCGCCAUGAAUAGAGUCGUCUCCUCCUCCGCCGCCUAUGCGACGUGAGCCUGGCCGUGUCGUGGUUGUCGACACUCAUUGGCCCAAUGGCCAAGCCAGCCACAGUUGUGGCAACUGUUGUCUUGUGUCGGCUUGGGCUUGGCGCCUCCGCGGGCGUCACCUUCGGCACGUCCUUGUGCCCUGCCCCAGGCGCCUCUUCGGGCCUUGCGCUGCUUGCCGCACCUGCGGCCUCCCGCUGUGGAAGAGGGCUCCCCCUUCUUCCUGUCACCGAGGCCGGCUUCCCACUGCUCCCGAGAUAGGAGCAGCUUCCCGCCGGUGGUGAUGGGCCCCAAGAGAGACUGUGGCUCGUCGGUGUCGACGACCUUGAGGCGACCUAUCGCCUCCUCGAUCGUCAUCGCGGAGAGGUCCAGCAAAGACUCGAUCGAGCGAGCCAUCAGCUUGUACUUCUCGGGGAUGCACCGAAAAAGCUUCUCGACAGCUCUCUCUCCUCAAUGUAGGUGGCAUCGCCGAACUUCACAAUCUUCUGCAGCAGAGUGUUGAGACGGAGAGCAAAGUCAUCAACGUCCUCACCUGGCUUGAAGGCCAGGCUCUCCCACUCCUUACGAAGUGCCUGUAGUGUGGACUUGCGAGUACGGUCGCUGCCGAUGCGUGCCGCGGCGAUGGCAUCCCAAGCCUCCUUGGCAGUUCGCUUGUUGGAAAGCGAGAACUGCAUCUUGGGCCGGACUGCAGCGACGAUGGCGUCCAGCGCCCGUCGAUCCUCAUGGUGGUCGACGUUGCCGUCCUGAACCGCCUCCCACAGGUGUCGCACCUGGAGCCUGAUCUUCAUGAUCGCGGCCCACUCGACGUAGUUUGUUUUGGUGAGGGUAGGCCACCCAACACCGGGACCAACAUCCCUGACCACAGUCCGGACCUCGUAGAGGCCGCGGUCCUGGUCGUCGCAGCCGCCGUCGCCGUGCGCACCUCCACCUGGAGCGCCACCGCGAUGUGCGUGGGCGUGCUCAGCUGCCCACUGCGCCGUCCGCUCUCGCGCCACAUUGGCGCGGUCUGCAUCGGCGCCGUCGUUCGCAGGCGCGUAGCCGUUGGAGCUGUCGGAGCCACCGCGGAGUGCCUUGGCAUCCGCCGUAGCCUCACGUGCUGCCUCCGCUGUUGCUGCUGCUUCUACCUCCGCUCUGGUUGCUGCCAUUUUCGCCGCUUCCAGCCUCAACGCCCUUGUUGCAGCAGCAGCGGCUGCUGCAGCCACUCGCUCACGCUCCUCUGCCACGGCGCGCUCGGCCUCCUGCGAACGCCGUGUGCUCGAGGUAGUCAUGUGCUGAGAGCGGUCUGCGGACAUAACUCGCCGUUGGGGGGCUGUUGCGUGAAGAAGCUGCUUCUGACGAGCUGCUGCUCGACAGUCCGAAGGGAGGGAGGUAACCAGGGGCAGUCGGAGCAACUGCUGCUACCGGCUGGGGCUGCUCAGCUCCCGGGGAGAGAGGUGAGCAAGAGAUGCUCAGGCUACAAGAAACACUGGCUCUGAUACCACUUGUUAGCUGUUUCAACCUGAGCAUUGAUAGUUGUGGAUGACACUUGGAGAGUUGGCGCAAUUUUCGUUGAUUUAUUUCUCACACAAUGCCAUGCCAACCUAAGGGGUUGGGGAUACAUAUUUAUAGGCUGCUAGCCAGCCAAGCAUAUGCUAAGAUGCUAGUCUAAGAUGCUAUCCUAACUGCCAGUCCUUGGUGGUCAAGGAUGCUAUCCUAACAACCACAAGGACACAAGGACCAUGUGUUGCAGCCCCACAAAGGACCAUGUGUUGCAGCCCCACAAAGACCUUAGUACAGAGACUUAUCCAUCAACAGGGACCAGUCCAUGGACACGGAUGCAGGAGCCGGCCAUCCAACGCUACCCACAUACAAUUCAAACAAGGUUCAAAAUAACCAGACGAAAUGCAUGCAAACACGGCGGAUUUCAAUGAAGUUCUGACUUACAUAAAAAAAAUGACCGUUUAACUAAAAGACUAUUAAAAGAAUCAUCAACCCUAUACCGGACGACCACCUUGUACGUGUGGCCUUCAUACCCUGCUGCACCACCAUCGUCGUUCGUGUCGUCGUCGUUGUCCCUCCAAAGGCGGAACGGCGCCAAAGGGCUGCGGCAGCCUUGUCCAGCGGCUGCCUGGCCUCCUCCUACAAGGUACGGAGGGCCGUUGCGGCUAGAGCAGACGGCGCCCGUGAAGCUCUGACCACGGCAUUGCCCCUGCCGGGGUUGGCGGAGGAGUCGCUAAGCAAUCACUCUCGCAAUCAAGGCAAGGGCGAGCGGCCGUGUUCGCGAUGGUGACAGGGCGGUCGAGGGCCCACGAGGUGGCUAGGUCCUGGUGUGUUGCGGACCCAUUCCGGCGCCGCACCGGACUUGGCAAACGCGGAGCAGCGUUGCGUCGAUCGUAGCGUGCUUGUUGUCUCGUCAUGCACUCCGAGACACGACAGCCCUCGAGUUUUGAGGCAUCGCCGUAACCGCCCCCUGCGAGGUAGUGGAGGAUGUGGCCACGUGCCUUCAUGAUCACGGAUUGCAGCUCCUUUACGGCGCAGCGUUUGCGAUGUGGCAAUGAUGUGGGCCCGCCAAUGCGGGUGUACUAGUUGUGCACCGAGGGUGACGUGGGCUCGUCCUUGACACGACGGAUGCGUCGGGGAUGACUGCUCCUCCUUGACGCAGCUUCCGAUGUUGAGGCCGCAGUUGCGUGACGGGGGAGCAGGUUUGUCUUUGACCAAACAGAGUGGGGACGCUGGCUCUGCUUCAGGCGUACGCGCGUCAGGGACGGCGGCUCCUUGACGCGCGUCGGCAAUGGUGGCACCGGGCCCAUCUAACGAACGAAUUCAUCGUCCGUCAGAAUGGCUUCCACGAGGAGACAGGGCCACUGUUGUGGUUGUUGGUGGUCCUCGUCGGAGGAGGAAAUGACUAUAUCCUCCUUGCCGAAGGAUCCCACCGCCAUGGAUGUCGAGGGGCCGAAGGGCGAGGGCGACGGCUCCAAGAUCCGCCUGAUGUGGAACUGCCACCGCCUCCGCAGGUCGGCGCGCAGAACCACGACUUCGGCAUGGCCACUUGGCUCGGGAGGAAAGGCUCGGAGACGGUGACAGGGCGCGAGGAGGGGGAGUGCGUCGCCGACGCACGGCUUUAAUAGCCGUGGUUAGGCCAAGCGAAGGGGCUGUCAGCCCGCUCCAACGUGGCGCAACGACCGGAGAUGAUUUCUCAUGACGUGACGUCCUCAUUGAAGCGACGACACCAAAGAGGUCGGGUCCGUCAGCGUCGCCCUCCCGUCCGGUCACAUUACAUGGCAUCAAUGCGAGCCGCUACAUGCUCUGGGCCGAAAUGAUUACGGCACGGCAAGCGGCGCGGGAUUUCAAUGGAAAGCACGGGAGAGGCGGGUGGAUUUUUUGGGUAGGCCACGGUUGCCAGACGUGGACGUGGCAGCGGUCCUAACGCCGCACCCCCCCCCCACACACACACACAACCUCGGGUUUGCGGAACAAAGUGCGUCCAGACCAACCGGCGGACCGAUGCAGGCCUGGCAAAACACGUCCGGACAGCGCGGUCCGAACAGUUGCCGACGGUUUAAGGGUCUGUGUUGGAGAUGCCCUAACACAUACUCCUUAAGAAAAUGAUAAGUCUUCAUGAAGAUAUUAAAGUAAAAUGCACAUUGUCUUACCAUACAUGCACCACGUAGCCGGCGGUUUAAGGGUCUGUGUUGGAGAUGCCCUAACACAUACUCCUUAAGAAAAUGAUAAGUCUUCAUCAAGAUUUUAAGUAAAAUGCACAUUGUCUUACCAUACAUGCACCACGUAUAUUCUUAUGCUCAACUAAAAAGUUAGUAAGGGCUUAUUUGUGUUUUCCUUAACCAUACUGUUGGAAACCAACCCCACUUGGGGUCAUGCCCAUUUCCUAAGCCAAAGGUUGGUGGAUUCAUACUCGGAUACGCCUAGCAGACCACCUGUUAUUAAGGGGUAGGGCCCAGCAAUUGUAGGUCUACUCCGAAGAUCUAAAUUAUAAAGAUAAGAGCCAAUACCCUACAUCUUGUGUCUACUUUGUGUCUCCCUUCUGCUUUUCGUCUCUAGUUUUCCAUUGCGUUCCACGGUGUUAGGAAAGCAACUUAUCUAUAUUGAAGGCCCAAGGGGCAUAUAUAUAUUACACAUGACUUGAGGUGCAAGGAAAGUAAACAUAGACUAAUACUAAUAGACUAAUAAGGACUCCUAGACUAAUACUACUCAAAUGCAAAGCGUAUGCAAUAGCAUUGCAUUUGAAGAAGUGUAAUACUAAAAAACAAUGAUAAUCCAAAUCCGCGUCUUGAGAGUGUCGUUGUAGCAUGAAGAGUCUUCAAAACUUGUCGAGUCGCCGAAGGAGAGAACGAAGAGAUGGCACAUCAGAGGUAGACACCGCAUCACUUGAAGAUACAAGAUAAGUGUCAAGAGAAGAUGGGUUGUCAAAAGAAGAUGGCACAUCAAGAGGAAGACACGAAGAGAUGGCACAUCAGAGGAAAACACCGCAUCACUUGAAGAUACAACAUAAGUAUCAAGAGAAGAUGGGUUGUCAAAAGAAGAUGGCACAUCAAGAGAAUAAAACAUUGUGCAGAAAAUCAUAUGGUAGAGGCUAGGGUUCUACCAGGUCUCGGACGUAGGUUGUAGGGGUGGAAGUGCGGGCUGCGAGGUUGGGGACGCCGGCGCCGGCGGCGGGGCGCCGUCGCGGCGUGAGAGAGAGAGAGAGACGGCUAGGGUUUGGGGCUCUCGUCUCCUGAGGGAGACGACAACAGAAUAUACUGUUUAUUGUCUGAUUAAUAUCGAAGGGGUACAUGUGUUUAUAAAGGAGGACAGCCUUCACUAAACCCUAGAUAACUUGGACUCUAACUUGGACUCUAAUAUAACUUGGACUUCUAAGAUAGGUAAGAUAACUUGGGCUAAGCCCGUAAUUAACCCUGCCCAUUGGGCCUCCUCUGUUGGUACGUUGUACCGGUCAUAACAUCUCUCCC
rnacentral:lncRNA from 1 species